rnacentral:lncRNA from 1 species
AUCACUUAUUUUCCAUUAUGACGUUGAUAUAUAAUUUGCAGACUCCACAAAUGAAGAAAAGAGCACAAAUGACGUUGGCAAACCUGAAACUUUCCCAUUGGGCAAUAAACAUUACUCCAGUCAAAAACAUUAUGGAAGAGGCAAACCUGAAACUUUCCCAUUGGGCAAUAAACAUUACUCCAGUCAAAGACAUUAUGGAAGAGGCAAACCUGAAACUUUCCCAUUGGGCAAUAAACAUUACUCCAGUCAAAGACAUUAUGGAAGAGGCAAACCUGAAACUUUCCCAUUGGGCAAUAAACAUUACUCCAGUCAAAAACAUUAUGGAAGAGGCAAACCUGAAACUUUCCCAUUGGGCAAUCAGCAUUACUCCAGUCAAAAAAAGUAUGGAAGAGGUGCUUCUCCAUCCGACAAUCAACCACCAAUUCCAUAGAAAUUCAAACACGGCUACUUUCUUGCCACGAGAAAGCGCUCAAUCGAUCCCCUUCUCCUCUAACAAACUACCAGAAAUUUUCAACCAUUUUUCAGUGAAGCCAACAUCUGAGGAAGCCAAAACAAUUAAGCAAACAAUCGAAGAGUGUGAAGCUCCAGACCUUAAGGGAGAGGAAAUAUAUUGCGCCACAUCUUUAGAAUCAAUGGUUGAUUUUAGCACUUCGAAGCUUGGAACAAGAAACGUUGAAGCAAUCUCGACGGAGGUAUUGGAAAAAGGAGCCACCAUGUCCAUCCAAAACUAUACAACAAUGCCGGGACUGAAGAAGUUGGCAGGUGACAAAGUCGUUGUGUGUCAUAAGCAGAACUAUCCCUAUGCUGUGUUUUUCUGCCAUGCAAUAAAACAUACAGCAGCUUAUGCUCUCUCCCUGAAAGGCGAUGAUGGGGAGAAGGUUAAAGCAGUAACCAUCUGCCAUCUAGACACAUCAGAAUGGGACCCAGAGCAUAUGUCCUUCAAAAUCGUCAACGUUAAGCCCGGAACCAUUCCCAUCUGCCAUUUCAUUUCCACUGAUGCUAUUGCCUGGGUUCCGAACCACAAAUCUGCAUGAUCAUCACUUAGCACUAGUACUGUGCGUAUAAUAUGCCUGUAUAAUUAUCUCCCUACUUAUUUCUGCCUGUUCAUCAUGUGGUGUAAGAUAUAUGUUGAGAUGAAGUUUUUGGGAUUAGUGGUCGAAAUUAACCCGAUCAUGUUUUCUCUUGUAACUAUAUAGACUUCAACUUGUACUCAUAAUAAAGCAUGCUAUAUUUAUGAAGAGAUAUUAAUCUUCAGGCAAAUAGAUAUUAUGAAAACAUAUAUAGCAAUUUAUCCAGAAGAAAUAUUAUGAAAUGAAAAGAAUAAAAAGUAAAAAAACAGAAGGAAAGGAAUUCGCACCUGCUAUGUAUGAAAGGACCAAGAUUGUUUUCCCUUUGGUUAAUGACUAGAAAAGCUCACUUGCAGAUUGCUUUCUCUGACCGUAGAUGCAACAGAAAUUUUCUCUUAAUAAUAGCACAAUGAUCGGGUAAUUGUAAGAACAAGUUGAUUUAAAAUUCCUUGACCCAAAAAAAAAAAAAAAAUCAUUUCAAAUUCAGGUCAACCCAUAGAUUUCUUGCCUUUUUCUUCUUCAUCACGUUGGGCUUGUCUUCUUCUUGAGGAUUGUAUAGGCCCAGGAAAUGCUUUGAGGUAGUUUUUGGCCUUGGAAGUUGGGACCCAACCCAACUUCACAAAAAGAAAACAGAUUUGCCAAAAAUCAAAUUUCAAGUCUCUCCUCAGAUCACUAAUACAGAUCAAAUUUUGGAUUUGAUGAACUAAAGUGGUUUUACUUUCUCUGUCAGUGUUUGAUGACUUAAUUUGUUAUUUACUUCUUUUUUUUUUUUUACUUGAUCUUUGUAGGGGUUUUUUUCUUCCGGUAACUUAAACGGGCUGGGCUGCCGUAAAGGGUAGAUUGAUGAAAUUGUCUCCUUUGUCUGAGUUCGAAAAUCAAGCCCCAAAAGCGCUUCGAAAGGGCAGUAGAGCCUUAGGAAGCGUUCUAGUCAUCUUCACCAACUAAAACAACAGCAACUUACAGAUGAUUUCUUAAGGCUUACAGAUAAAUUUUCUAGCUUGGCAUGAGAGGCUUGUGACAUGGAAGCAAAAUCAGCAUGAGUUUAGCACCAAAGAGGAAAAUAUGGCUUCCUAGGGAGAAAUGGGAGUGUUUAAGGUGAGGAAGAAGAGGUUUGCAGGCUGAUUUGGCUGAGGAGAGAGAAAGAAAGAACAAUGUUCUUCCAGUAGCUUGACAAAGCUUCUGACAGAUGUGAAAGUCGUCUGCCAUAAGAGGAAAAUGAAGAAGAAUGGUGAAUAGUGCAUGAAAUUGCUGGGUUUUUGCAGGUAAGAGAGAAAGCUUGCUCUCUGAAUUUGAGUUGGUUUUUGGUUGGGUAGAAGAGGCCCCCUUUUAUAGCUGCGGGAAACCAUCUUUUUUCAAGAAACCCUAAUGGUUUCUAUCCAUUUUGGCCAAGCUUUUCCCUUCAUUUCUCUUCUCCUCCCUUGACUUUUCCUAUCUUGGUGAAAUUUCCUCUGCCUAUUUGCACAAAAUUAGAGAUUUUGAGGAGCUCAAGACCCCUUUCCCGCAGCUGCCUCAGUGGAGAAUCCCCAUUUUCAGUCAUCUUUCUUCCUUCUUUUCUCCCAUCUUCCAAGGUUAGGUCUGAUGAGGGAAAGAAAUGGGUAUGCACACUGGUUUGAAGGGUAUUUUUGCUUGAAACUUGUUCUCUCCCAUGUGCUGGAGCUUCCCAGCAACUUACACACAUGGAUAUUUUGGCUUUCAUCGUGGCUUUUGUUUUCAGCUAGGUGCUGGAGAUUUCGCAGAUAUUUUCAUGAGUUGCUUGGGCCUUCUAGGACAAUAGGUUGGUUUAUCAAGUGAAUGGGCUAACUUCAUCAAUUGUUGGGCUAUUUUGGUUGAGUUAAUGGACUAUUUUGGUUGAAGUAAUGGGCUAUUUUGGUUGAAUUAAUGGGCUAUUUUUCUCUCUUUGUGCUCACCCACAUAUUUGGGCCUAAGAAAUGGGCUUGAGUUCCGGGGCUCCCAAGCAACCCCGGGACUUCCAUUUCUCGGCCCAUCAAUGGGCCUCAUAUCAACUUAUUACCAUCCAUAUCACAACCCACUCAAGCAAGCCCUGGGCAUCUUGCGUGGCUUGGGCCCACUUAAGCUUGUAGCGUGACGUGUUGCUUAUUUGCUUGGCAUGGCAUGUGUGCAAGCGCAUAUGACGAACUUUAGCGUGCCCAAAUUGGGUUUAUUCUCGGUAAGGUAUCGCAUUGGGCCGAGAAUUUAAUUGGGCAGAACUGUGGAUUUUUGGGCCUCAACAAUCUUAUAUAUAUUGGUUUUCUUUUUUUCCUUAAUAUUCACCACCUUUCUGUUGCAUAAGUAUUUCAGUCUUAACGGGUUUCCAUCUACCACUCAUCUUUGCUCUUUUAAGUGUAAGCUUUUUUUUUUUUUUUUUAAGCACAAGAUUAGAGGGGAGGGGGAUUUCUCAAUGUAAGCUUUGCAGUUUCAUAAUUAAUAUUUCCAAUAUCUCACUGUUAGUAAAAUAUGGAACAGGAAAAGUAUGAAUAAAAUACACACAUGUUUUAUUUAGCAAAAUUUUGACAAGAUACAACUGAAAAGUUUGGCCACUAUAUAAUAUUUUGAUAUAAUUUCUACACUUCUUCUCAAAAGAUUAGAUCACUUCACAUCUUGUGUAUGUGAAAACUAAUGUAAAAAGUUGAAACUUUAUCGUAAAACCUCGACAAAAAUGAGCUCUACUAGAAAAUGUUCAAUUUGGAUUCGUUGAUUUAAAUGGCAAUUUGACACUUGAUAGAAAUUUUUACAUACAUGUGUUAGUGUUUGAUCACUUCACAUGUUACUUACUAUAUUUAUUCCACUCAAGUUAGGUAAAUAUUAUUAUCAAACAUUUCAAUUAAUUUGUGAUUUUUUUAUUAUUUAAUCAAUUAUGAAUUAAUGGAUUCUUCUUGUUGUUUUGAAGACCAAUAAAAAAAAAAGGGUAAGGAUGGCUUAUAACUCUGAUAAAACAACAGUGACGUGGACAGCAGAUGUUACACCGUACUGAAGAUUUUUGAAGAUUCUUUAUUUGGGUUUCUUUCAAGAUGAAAACCAUAUUAUCCACAACCACAAUGAAGAAGACAGAAAAUGGAGUAAUUCAGAUGUUACCAGCCAUCCACGACAAACUGAAGUCUGCAAAGCAUUCGUAAUCUAAAGGGAGACUUUGGAAAAGCCCAAAGGAGAGAGAAAAUUUUUAAAAGAAGCAAAAAUGGACAAAAUUGCCCUUAUUUAUUUUUUGAUUUCCUAAGAAAUCCUUUACAUUUGCAUGUCUUUGGUUUGAAAGUUGAGAGGUUAUUCUGUCUUUUUUCAAAAAGCUUUGGCUUUUUCCAAAAGUGAAAGUUUUUUUAUGGGUAAAACCUAAAUUUACUUAAUCCCUAAAAAGGAUGGGGAGGCUGCGCAAUACUUAGCCACGUGUAGGCCAGGAGGCUUUCCAAUUUUAAUAUAUAUAUAAAUUGAAAAAAUAAAAUAAAAAUCAAUCUAUUAUCCUAUAUAAAAUAAAGAUUAUUGCUUCCAUGGGCAGUGCUAUGCACAGGACAGUGCCUGCCCAGCACAAAUUUUUUUUAAAUAAAAAAAAAAAAUCUACAUAUGUUAUAAGCUCAUCCAAAAAAAUAAAAUAAAAUAAAAGUAAAUUCUACAUAUAUGUUGCCCAUCUAGGUGGUUCCAUAUCUUCUCUCUCCUUCUCUUUUGGCUAUUAGACUUCUUGUUUCUCUCUCUCUCUUUGCUACCUCACAUCAGCAAGUUUCUCCCUCUCUUUUUUUGGGGUCAAAUUCUUCCUCUAUUGACAAAAUCUUCUAUUAUCUUGGGUGGGCAACUUGGCAACAACAUCUUCUCUUCUCCUUUUGUCAACAACAAGUAUUAUUCUCAUUCUCUCAUUUGCUAUAUAUCUUUAAUUAUAGUUUUAAUUUAAAAUUGAGUAUUCUAGGGUUUAAUUAGGGAUGAAUUAUAAUUUUAGAAUUUUGUUGAAAUUAAUUAAGGCUUCGAUUAGGGGUGAAUUAUUCUACUGCUUUGGUUUGGAAUUUUGUUAAAAUUGAGUAUUAUAGGGUUUAAUUAUGGAUGAAUUAUAAUUUUUGAUUUUGGUAUUAUUGAGAUGUUAUUAUGAGAAUUUGUUUCAUUUUUUUAUUGGUAUAUUUGAUUAAAAUUCUUUCUACAUAUUAUUCAUAGGCUAUCUUUUAUUAUGUCGGAUCACAAUCGGAAUCCCAAGAGAACAAAGAAUUUGAAUAGUGUUGUUUUGUAUUGCAUUGCAUUUACUUUUGGUUUUAGUUUUGCUUUUAGUGUAAAUUACUCAAAUGGUCCUCAAAUUUGUACCCGAUUUACAUUUUGGUCCAUAAACUAAAUUAUUCAUUCAAAUGGUGCACCAACUCUUUAUUAAUCAGUGCUUUGGUCCUACCGUUAUGUUUUCUAUUAAAUUUAGUCAUGUGAGCAGCACAUGCUACAUUUGUAGGGGUAAAUAAGACUUUUGACCACUUUAUCACCUAUGUAUCACCACUUUAUAACCUAUUUGGAGAACAUAGGUCAGUUAUGGACGGUUUUACAAUUAUAUUUGACGGCAACAUUAACAUAAUGUAACAGUGGGAUCAAUGGAGCGAUUAAUAUAGAGUUGAUGGACCGUUUGAACGAAUAAUUUAAUUGAGGGACCAAAACGUAAAUUGAGUAUAAGUUUGAGGACCAUUUGAGUAAUGUACCCUUCGCUUUUAUAUUUGUUGAACUUUUAUUUAUGGAUAGAUAUGCAUUUGAGGGUAAGACCCAUUAUGUUCCCCCUGACUUGGUGUAUCUUUUUAUGUUUAUUAAUGAAAUUCACUCGAACUGUUGAGUUUAGUAUGUAAGUUUUGCCUAACCGGCUUUUGAAUCCUAGAACCGCCACUGUUGCUCCAUCCUCCAUGCACUUGCAUGUGCUCUUACAAAGUGUGAAGUAGAUUUUGUGUGCUCCAAGUCAUUGACUAGAGCUGAAACAUGGUUAGCUAGAUUUAUAAGGACCCAUCUCUCUAUUUCCUAGACAUAUACCCAUCUCUCUAUAAAUCUAUAUGUAAAACUCAAUUUCAAACUUAAAUGACCAGUAAGAUAUAAGAGGUCAUAGUAUUCCUAUGUUUUUACAUCGUUGCCACCAGACUUCUUAUUUUAUUUAUAAUUUAUUUCAAGCAUUUCAUUAACUGCCAUAAUUGUAAUUAAUACUCCAUAUUAAUAGCAUAUCAAUCACCCCAUUUCUUUUGAUUGCCAUUCCCUCUAACAUAUCGCCCCUUAAAAUUGAAAACCAAAAAAAAAAAAAAUGUAAAUUACAUAUCCAAUAAUGUACCUAUGAAAAAUAUAAAUAUAAAUAUAUACGUAUAAAAAUAUAGGUUUAUUAUUUACCAAAUAAAAAAUAUAAAAAAACUAGGUCAGUUGCUUUGUAAUUGAAAUUUCUAUACAUUUUCCACAAAUUAAAAAUAGGUACACAAUAAUUUAUAGAAAAUAUAGGUGCAUUAUUUAUCCAUAGGUAAAAAUACCUAUAAAUGCACAUAGGUAAAUUAUUUACCCAUAUAUUAUUUUUUUGCUAAGGAUUUACCUUAGUUUUUAGUAGAUUAAUUUACCUACCUAGAGGCAUAGGUAGCUUAAAAAAAUUGUAGCACCUUAGUUGGUUGCAUACUAAUUUACCUACCUAGAGGCAUAGGUUGCUAAGAAAAAAUGUAGGUAAAUUCAUGUACCUAAACACAUAGGGGUCAAAUAGAGAAUAACAUGUUAUUUCCCUUCGAACAAAUUAAUUUCAAACCAUAACAAUAAUUGAAUUCGGAAAUUGGUAUAAAUAAAAGGAAAUAAAUAAGCUAUCAAUUUGAAAAUUAAAAUAAGAAAUGAUCAAGUAGUCAUAUUUGAAAAAAAAGAAAAGAAUAUAUUCUUGGUUUUUAUAGGAACAACGUGUAUAUUCAAACCAAAUGGCAGUAACUACACCAAGCUUUAAUUACUUUUUUUUAAGGCCAAAAGUCACUUUUGGUCUCUGUAGUUUGACACUUCUAUUACUUUUGACGCUGUAGUUUCAAUUCCGUCAAUUUUGCCAUUGUAGUUUCAUAUUUGUAGCAAUUCAAGGACAUGUUAAUAUUAAUGUCAAUUUGUUUAAUGAUGCAAGGGGUAAUUUCGUCAUCCCAAAAUCCUUGAGCAUAAAAGCUUGUCUGAAAUUCUCCCCAUUUCAUAUUAGGGCUCGAAAUUCAACCACUAAUCCCAAUUUUUGAAGAACCCUAUACCCAAAUGACCAAUUUCAAGCCCUAAUAACAAAUUAGGGAAGUUUUAGAUGAGCUUUUAUGCUCAAGGAUUUUGAGUUGAAGAAAUUGCCCCUUGCACUGUCAAAGAAAUUGAUAGGAAUACUGACUUGUCCUUGAAUUGCUACAAAUACAAAAAUACAGGGUCAAAAUUAACAGAAUUUAAACUAUAUGGUCAAAAGUGGUUAAAGUGCCAAACUACAAGGACCAAAAGUGACUUUUAGCCUUUUUGUUUAAAUAAGGAAAAAACUUACCUAUUAAAUCCUUGGAAUCUAUACAAAAUUGAAACACAGUUAAUCAGCAUUGAAUUGCAGCUAAUUUCUUAAACAAGGGUAUUAUAGGAAUUUAAAAAGUAUAACAUUUAAUCCAUUGAGCUUGAUUAGGAAUCUUGAUGAGUUGGAUCCUAGUUAUAUAGUUUCUCUUAUAAAAAUCGGGUUUUAUUUAUAGACAAAUAAAACAAUGGGUUGUAGGUAAGAAAAUAUUAAUUUGAAGGGAAAGUGUCACAUCCUGGGAUCGGCUCCGCCGUAGCACGAUAUUGUCCGCUUUGGGCCCCCCUCUCUGCCCGCACGGUUUUGUUUCUGGGAGCUCACGAGCAACUUCCCAGUGGGUCACCCAUCCUGGGAUUGCUCUGGCCCCCAACUCGCUUAACUUCGGAAUUCCUAUGACUCCGAAGCCAGUGAGCUCCCAAAAGGCCUCGUGCUAGAUGGAUGCGGGUGUGUACAUAUAAGACACAUCACCCCCUCUCCGUUGGUUGAUGUGGGAUCUUACAGAAAGAGUCAAAUUUACUAAAUUAAUAAAGCAUAAAUUGGAAAGGGAAAAGAUCUAGAGGAUGCAUUGUAGGAUUGCUCAUGCCAAUAAUUGCACCCUCUCGAUAUUGAAAAACCUAUUGUGUAUUAUUAUCUUCAAUCAUGAAUGAUGCACCUAAAACCCAAGUGUCCCAAGCCAACCAUUGCGCUCAUACCACUUGUUGCAGUACACAUUCACCCGUUUUUAAAGAAAGAAAUUCUACCAAUCGAUAUUGUCUCAAAUUUAAUCACAUAGGUCUAUUAUGGUUAACCAUAUGUACUUUUAUCGGCCAUAUAGAGGUACCUUUUUCCAACGUGCAACAAUUGUAUUUGAUUCACAAUUAUGUCUGAUAUACAUCACAUCAUGCCACUUGCCUCAAAUGAAUUUAAUUGAGUGAGGCAAUGGGAAGUAAUUAAGCUCUAUAUUGGUGGGUGGAGUGUUACUUCUGGAACCCUCAUCAUUCGUCCAUACAAGGGAACAAUUCCCUUCCUUCUAUAAAAUGGUGAAGCCAGUUGCUAUUGUUUGUUAGAGUUUUAGGAUCUGAGUGUUAGAUUUUGUGAGAAGAGAGAAGAGAAUUUAGUGAAAACUUCCAAUACUGCUCUGCUAUACGUGUAGCAGAGAGAACAUUCUGUUUUGUUAUAUAUUUUCAGUACAACAACACACACUUGGUGUGAGAAGAAAAAUGACUGUUAUGCACAGUACCAGCUGGAUGCUUUCCAUCAAAGUAAUCUCAGCCAUUCACUAUCUAACCAAUCAAGCUAUGACACCUGGACUAAGUAUAAAGAAAUACAACUAAGCAGAAAACAAGACUCUUAAUCCUGAAAUCAACUUAAGCACUUAUAAUUCAACACUCCCCUUUAAGUCUUGAGGUGAUUUCACUCCAAGCAUGCCUCUGAGAUAAUUGAAUCUGUCUUUGGCCAGAGGUUUGGUAAAAAUGUCAGCCAAUUGUUCAUUUGUAGGACAAUAUUCCAGAUUGAUUACCCCUUCUUGCAAUGCAUCCUUGAUGAAGUGAUACCUCCUGUCAAUAUGCUUUGUCUUCUGGUGGAAUACAGGGUUUUUAGUGAUUGCAAUUGCUGAGAUAUUAUCACAAUGCAAUGGAGUAGCUUCAGUUUGAAGCUCUCUAAAGUCUUCUAGCACAAAACGGAGCCAAAUAGCUUGAGUAGUAGCCUCAGCUGCACUGAUGUACUCAGCUUCUGCAGUAGACAGUGCAACACAGUUCUGUUUCACUGAGGCCCAAGAAAAUACUCCACUUCCAAAACUAAACGCAUACCCUGAUGUGCUCUUGCAAUCACCAACUGAUCCUCCCCAAUCACUGUCACAGUAACCAACUAGAAUUGAUCUUUUGCCUUUCACAUAUUCAAGACCAUAGUCCAGAGUUCCUUUGAUGUAUCUCAAAACCCUUUUAGCUGUUCCAUAGUGUCUAUUUGUAGGACAGUGCAUGAAUCUAGCUAGCAAGCUUGAGGCAUACAUGAUGUCUGGUCUUGUAGCAGUUAAGUACAGCAAGCUACCAACAAUGCUUCUGUAUUGUUCUUCAUUUGCAGCUCAACUCCCAUCAUCCUUAGCUAGUUUCUCAGUGGCAACAAGGGGUGUUGUCACAGGUUUGCACUCAGUCAAACCAAACUUGCUCAACAAGGUGCUAGCAUAUUUCUUUUGAUGUAGAAAUAUACUAGACUCAGUCUGAAUAACUCCCAUGCCAAGAAAGUGAUGAAGUAAGCCCAAAUCAGUCAUCUCAUACUUAGCCAUCAUGUCUUCUUUGAAUUCAGCCAACAAUGCUUGACUGCUCCCUGUAUACACAAUAUCGUCUACAUAGAUAGACACAAUUAGAAUCUCCUUAUCUCCCCUUACUUUGGUAUAUAAGGUUGUUUCACUUAAGCUUUUCACAAAACCACAUUGAGUGAAGUAGCUGUCUAUCUCUCCAUACCAAGCCCUUGGGGCUUGCUUCAGACCAUAAAGGGCUUUAUGCAAACGAUAAACCUUGUCUUCUUUACCUUUAAUUACAAAACCUUCAGGCUGACUGACAUAAACUUCCUCUUGCAGCACACCAUUAAGGAAAGCAGACUUCACAUCAAGCUGGAACAAUUUCCAAUCCUUUUGAGCAGCUAGAGCAAUAAGUGUUCUAAUGGUGUCCAAUCUGGCUAUAGGUGCAUAAGUCUCAUUAUAAUCCAGUCCAGGCUUCUGAGCAUACCCCUUAGCCACUAAUCUUGCUUUAUUCUUUUGCACUGAGCCAUCCAAAUUCAGCUUUGUCUUGUACACCCACUUAACUCCAAUCACUGGUUUUUCAGUUAGUCUAUCUACCAAUUCCCAUGUUUCAUUCUUUUCAAUCAUCUGCAGUUCAUCUUCCAUAGCCUUAAGCCAAGAUUCAUCCUGAGCAACAUCAGCAUAUUUUUCUGGUUCCAUGAUACACAAGUUACACUGAGCUAGAACAUCAUCUAGCCUUCUCCAUUUUAGAGGGGUGUGAUCAUAAGCUUGAGUUCUCCUUUCUUCACUGCUUAUAUCACCUGGAGUUGAUGAAAUGCUCUCUUGCAUAUCCAAAGUUUGAGGUGUACCAGUAGAAUUCUCAUUAGAACUGUCAGAUUUCAAGUCCAAAUCAACUUGGUUUUCAAUUGAGUAUGUUGUCAUAACUGAACCAUUUUUGUUUGUCCAAUGCCAAGCAUUUUCUUCAUCAAAUGUCACAUCCCUUGAUAGUAAAAGCUUGUUAGAAACAGGAUCAAAAACUCUAUAUCCUUUUUCACAAGUUGCAUAUCCCACAAACACUCCCUUUGUACUCUUAGGAUCCCGCUUGUGUCUCAAUUCAGUUGGCACAUGAACAUAACACAGAGAACCAAACACUUUCAGAUGUGCAAUUCCAGGCUUCCUUCCACUAUAUGCUUCGAAUGGAGUAAUGUUGUUGAGAGCUUUGGUAGGACAUCUGUUCAGCAAAUAGAUAGCUGUAUGCACAGCUUCUGCCCAUAGGAAAUAAGGCAUUCCCUUCUCAUGUAACAUUGAUUUUGCCAUCUCAAUGACAGUUCUAUUCUUCCUCUCAACUACUCCAUUCUGCUGAGGAGUAUAGGCCAUUGUAAGCUGCCUUUGAAUGCCAUUAGCUUCACAAAACUCCAAAAAAUCAGUAGACAUAAACUCUCCACCCCUGUCACUUCUUAUGCACUGAACCUUGUGUCCAGUUUGUAAUUCAGUCAUGGACUUGAACUUCUUGAAACAAAAGAAGGCUUUUGACUUGUUUCUCAAGAAGUAUACCCAAAUCAUUCUUGUGAAAUCAUCUAUAAUCAGCAUGAAAUAUCUGUUCCUUGCAACAGACUCAUUUCUCAUGGGACCACAGAGAUCCACAUGUAUUAGCACUAGUACUUUGCUUGCUCUUUGAGCUUGAUCUUUUGGAAAAACAUUUCUGUGCUGUUUUCCAAAUUGGCACCCGUCACACACACCACUUUGUUCUUCCAAUUUUGGUAAACCAUGUACCAUUUCUUUAUCACUUAGCUGCUUCAAUCCUCCAAAAUGCAGAUGACCAAAUCUCUUGUGCCAAAUCCAUGUGGAUUGAAGAAAACUAGUCUUCAUUAGUAACUGUUUUUCAGCUAGAAAAGAGACAGGAUAGCAUCUGUUACUCUUCAUUUGCACCUUUAUGAUGAGAUAAUCCAUGGAUGGGCUAUCAAAUACCCUGCACAUCCCUUCUCCAAACACUAGACAGUACCCAUGUUCAUCCAUCUGCCCAACACUUAGCAGAUUUUCUUUCAAUCCUGGCAGAUACAUUACUUCUCUGAUGUAUUUCCUGCCCUUUGCUGUAUCAAUACUCAGUGAGCCAAUACCAGCUACACUCACUAAUGCACCAGUUGGCAUUUGUACUCUCCCAGCUACAUUAGUUCUCACAUCAACCAGCAAAUCUAAAUUUCCUGUCAUAUGAUUGCUGCAGCCACUGUCAAUGUACCAUUCAUUGGUUUUGAUCUCAGUGGUUGAGCAAUUGGCAUAAAACAGGUUUCCUGUAACCUCCAUUUGAUUUACACAAUUAGCCUUCUGCACAUUUUUGCUCACUGUACAGUCUCUAGCAAGAUGUCCAACUCUGUCACAGUUAUAGCAUUUUGGUUUUCCCUUAUACCUGCACUCACCAAAAUGAUGCUUUGAACACACCUUGCAUUGAGGCUUUGUGUUUUCCUGAUUUGAGAACUGUGUUGAAGUGUGGUUCUGUGCAGAAUAAUUAUUCUGCUGUGUCUUGUCUUUUGCCUCCCAUGACUUCCCUUUAGAGUUCCAGCUUCUCUGUGACUUAGAUGAACCAGACUGAGAAGCAUUUUUGUUCUGACCCUUUGAAUUCACAGUGAAUGAGGCAAAUGCCUUCUCAGCUGUAUCAACACUAUGCAUUUCAAGCCUUUGCUCCCGACUCUUCAAAAUGGCAGUUACUUCCUGCAAAUCCACAGUUUCUAGUGUCUUUGUGUUUUCAAUCACAAUGCAUAUAGGGUCAUACUUCUUACUUAGACUAAUUAACACCUUCUGAACCUACCUCUCAUUUGACAGAACUUCACCAAAUGUUUUCAUUUGGUUAAUCAAUUCAGUUAGUCUAGUAAGAUAUUCAGAUAAGGUUUCACUAUCACGCAUCCUACUGUAUUCAAACUCACGUCUAAGGUUUUGAAGCUUUACCGAUCUAACAUGCUCUCCACCAUGAUAUUCUGAGUACAGCAGAUUCCAAGCCAUCUUUGCAGAGUCAGCAUUGGCAAUUCUGGGAAAAAUCUGAUCAGAAACAGCAUUUUGAAUGAUACCCAAGGCCUUCGCAUCCUUCAUGAGAAUCGCAGCUGUUUUCUCAUCAACUUCUUCUUCUGAACCAUCCUCAGAUUCCUGCUUCGUCUUUGAAUCUGGGAUUAAAAACCCCUUCUCUACCAAACCCCAUAAACCAUAUGAUCUGAAUAUGGUUACCAUCUUAAUCCUCCAAAAUUCAUAGUUCUCACCUGAGAAAAUGGGGAUUCUAGCCUCUGAACUUCCAGAUCCAGCCAUUACGAAUUUCAGAUUCGCCUGGAAACAAGAUGUUUUCAGAUUUGACCCUUGAUCGAGCUCAAUCAGCUUCGUGAGCUUAGAAUGAGCUCACCUCGAUCGAUUUUCUUCACAGAACAACGCCCAGCUUCAGAUAAUCAAACUUGGCUCUGAGGCCAUGUUAGAGUUUUAGGAUCUGAGUGUUAGAUAUUGUGAGAAGAGAGAAGAGAAUUUAGUGAAAAUUUCCAAUACUGCUCUGCUAUACGUGUAGCAGAGAGAACAUUCUCUUUUGCUAUAUAUUUUCAGUACAACAACACACACUUGGUGUGAGAAGAAAAAUGACUGUUAUGCACAGUACCAGCUGGAUGCUUUCCAUCAAAGUAAUCUCAGCCAUUCACUAUCUAACCAAUCAAGCUAUGACACCUGGACUAAGUAUAAAGAAAUACAACUAAGCAGAAAACAAGACUCUUAAUCCUGAAAUCAACUUAAGCACUUAUAAUUCAACAUUGUUACCAUAAGAGCCAGCUCCGACUUUCUUUAAUUUCAGUCCUAACGGGGUUUCAUCUUCCACUCAUCUUUGCUCUUCUCAGUGUAAGCUCUGCAAUUUGAUUAACUUUCCCAUUAUCUCUCACUGUACUCUAUAUAAAGGAAUAAGUGUCGUCCACUAAUUAAUUACACUUUGUGAGAUUUGAUUUUAAUUAGAGUUCGAAUUGAUGUUGCAGCUAGCAGCGGUGGCACUGGCAAACCAUGCUGCUCAACCAGCACCUCAACUUUACUGGAACUCCGUCCUGCCAAACACACAAAUGCCAAGAGCUAUCAGUGAACUUCUGCAUCCUGGUUUGUGUUGAAUAAAUAUAGUAUGUUACUGGAGUACGUAUGGCAACAUAUUCACAAAUGUGUCACGUAUUUUCCAAUAUGACGUUGAUAUAUAAUUGCAGACUCCACAAACGAAGAAAAGAGCACAAAUGUCAUGAAUGCUGUUGGGAAUGGAAAGCCAAUUGACCACAAGGGCAACCUGAAAAUACUGUACUACCACAGCUUGCACGACGCCCAUUUUCUUACAAGAGUGAUGAUCGUCCCACUGACAAUCAACUCCAUUAUAAAAACGUAGCUAUUUUCUUCUUGGAGAAGGACAUGCGCCCUGGCACAACAAUGAGCUUCCAAUUCCCUAGAAAUUCAAACACGGCUACUUUCCUGCCACCAGAAAGAGCUCAAUCGAUCCCCUUCUCCUCUAACAAACUACCAGAAAUUUUCAACCAUUUUUCAGUGAAGCCAACAUCUGUGGAAGCCAAAACAAUUAAGCAAACAAUCGAAGAGUGUGAGGCUCCAGGCAUUAAGGGAGAGGAAAUAUAUUGCGCCACAUCUUUAGAAUCAAUGGUUGAUUUUAGCACUUCGAAUUUUCGAACAAGAAACGUUCAAGCAAUCUCGACAGAGGUAUUGGAAAAAGGUGCCACCAUGUCCAUGCACAAGCAUACAACAAUGCCGGGACUGAAGAAGUUGGCAGGUGACAAAGUCGUUGUGUGUCAUAAGCAGAACUAUCCCUAUGCUGUGUUUUACUGCCAUGUAAUAAAACCAACAGCAGCUUAUGUUCUCUCCCUGAAAGGCGAUGAUGGGGUGAAGAUUAAAGCAGUAGCCAUCUGCCAUCUAGACACAUCAGAAUGGAACCCAAAGCAUUUGGCCUUCCAAAUCCUCAAAGUUAAGCCCGGAACAAUUCCCAUCUGCCAUUUCCUUCCCACUGAUCAUAGUGUCUGGGUUCCGAACCACAAAUCUGCAUGAUCAUCACUUAGCACUGUACGUAUAAUAAGCUUGCACCCCUGUAUAAUUAUCUCCCUACUCUACUUAUUUCUGCCUCUUCAUGUGGUGUAAGAUAUAUGAUGAGAUGAAGUUUUUGGGAUUAGUGGUCGGGUUGCCUUAAAAACACAGAUUACAGAAACUGCUUGAACUUAACCCGAUCAUGUUUUCUCUUGUACUCGUAAAGCAUGCUGUUGUGGUUCUACUUAAUUUCGUUCUCCCCAAUGUUUGAGUGUUUAAUUGUUACGUUGGAUAAUGCUUGUAGUUAGAGAAGCCUUCAUUUAUAUCAAAGUCCUCAACUUGUAAAGAUAUCAAUGGUCCUAGUGCUGCCACGUGUAAGAAGAUUGAAGAAUAAAGCUGUUGAGAUAUUGUUAGACCUGUUAUGCAGUUUAGGAAAACUGUUAGUAUUGAUAAGAGAAGGUUAGAGAUGUUAGAGAGGUUAGAAAACACGUGAACAAGGCUUUAACUCAGCUGAUAUAAAGUCUGUAGUUGUGCUCAGUUGAACUUAAUGAGAAAUACAACAAGUCUCUUCUCUAUCUCUGAAAUUCUCUCUGCUCUCUCUGCUUUACUUCUUUUGUCUCUGCUCUACAUUUUUUUUCAAUCUUCCUAUCUUAACAAAACUAUCAAGAAUUAAUGCAUCCAGAAACAUAUAUACCAAGACGCAAAACAACAUAUUUUUCAUGCUCUGUCUGUAACACCAAAGCAAACUUCCUUUAUCACAAAAGGAUCAAAUUCCAGUACUAAUCUAAUCCAUCAUGUAAAGCAUACAAUCUACAAGUGCCUCCCUUAAUUUGUCCAUUGGAUAUAUAUGUCACUUUUUGGUAAUUUGGUAUAGCAGCACCACGUAGUCUUGAAAUAGUAGUGCGGCUAUACCAAAUAUACCAUUUGCCCCUGCAUUUAACAGAAAAGUAAACAAAAUUGACGGUAGAACUAUUUGUCCUAACGAAACUGCAGUUGAAAGACCAUGAGAACGAUUUUGAAAAUUGAGGGACUCAAAUGAAAAUUGGGUCUAAGUUCAAGAACCAAUAAAACGAUUAACCCAUAGAUUUUGGAUCCAGUACCACAUCCCAAAGAGAAAACCACAAGUUUGCAAGCAAGUUUGUCCAUAAUAACACUACGUACAGUAUGGGCAGUGCGCUAGACUCAUCUCACUUUCUCAACCUAUCCUAUAGUUGUCUAAAAGAGUUUCUAAUUUAAUGUACUGAGAUUUACGAAAGAAAUAUCAGAGAAACAAUUUUCAGGCAAUAAAAAAAUGUCUUGGCAAGAAAAUGUACAAUUUGUUACAUAACUUAUUAAAUAUGAACAGUUGAAAGAAAAAAGAAUCUGGAUGAGGGAUUUGCAAAUUCCUAUGGCCCAAUUACCUUUUUUUCUUUGUUGUUUUUUUUUUUUUUUUUUUGGUUCUUUUGAUCCAGUAGCAUAUUCCAAAGAAUGAAAACCACAGGCAUGCAAUGCAAGCUCUUUUCCCACGUUUUCCUCUGUUUUUCUCCUAUCAUGGAAGUGAUUAAAACACACCUCUAAGCUUGUUUUGCGUUUGGUAGCCGAGUGUAAAAGCUCAAUGCAAGAUAGUUUGAGGUAGAAUUUUCUCCUAUUUUAUUAGGACAAUGAUAAUUAAAAAAAAGUGUGAUUCAUUGAAUAUUUGCGGGGUUUUGUUCAGACCUGACAAAGUUCUAAGUCAACACAUCAAAUUCCUUUUUCCAACAUGCAACAAUUGUAUUUGAUUCCCAAUUUUUUCUGAUAUACAUCACAUCAUGCCACUUGCAUCAAAUGAAUUUAAUUGAGUGAGGCAAUGGGAAGUAAUUAAGCUCUGUAUUCGUGGGUGGAGUGUUACUUCUGGAACCCUAAUAAUUCGUCCCUACAGGACUCUAGAACUCUCAAACUUCUUACAAGGACUACUUAACUCUAUAGCUUAAUGCAUAUAGCAUAUAUAUGCAAACACAAUUAGAAAUUCUACAACAGAAGCAAGAUCAAUCUCACUAUGCCUUCUAAACAAACAAACAAAUAAAACAAGCAUAUUAAUUGCUUUAAUCACUCUACUAACAUCAACACAGCACACUUAGUUUACUAACAGAUGAUAUAGAAAGGAAAAAAAAGGACCAAUAGGGAGAAAAUGGUGAACUAAGGAGAGACUAAUACUUCUGGUCCUUAGAAGGCAUAACAGAAAUAAUAGAGCACACUGCUUGAAUGCAAGUCAGUAUUAGGAGCAAAACAGCUGCAAUGAAAGAAAUAGUUGCCCAAGGUGUAUUGAAAUAAUGUUGCCUCAAAUUUGCCUUCCAUUUGUUCCAAGGCUUUCUGCAGUAGCUAUUAAGGCGCUCAGAAAGAAUAGCAAAGUAGAAGCUUUCACGAUACACUGCAAUUCCUUUUCCGAGGUUGUUAAUCAGAGUGCACACCUCAUUGUAGUCACCAAGCAUAUUUUUGACAAUCCCAUCCUUCAGAAGGAACUCCACAUCCUUUUCGGUGUUCACAAACUCAUCCAUGAGUGAAACAUAAUCACUUAUGUAAUUCUUACGGCAAUGGCACUAUUCAAAGGCAAUGAGGUUACGGAGUGUGAGCUCUGUGUAAUCGUGUAUUUUUAGUUUUGGAAUUUCUAGAAUCCCAUCGUUGAAUUGUGUUAACGCAGCUUUCCUUUCCUAGCCUACACGGAAGUCAACUUCACAAUCUCCUCCUAGCAAUUAGUCUUUCCUGCUGUAAAUCAGAUUUCCUACUGUAAAUCGGAUUGUAUUCAUGUCUAUAUUAUUUCCUACUUUAAGUAGAUAUCUUGUACUAGUAUAAAUAGGGACUUUGUGUAAUCUGUUAAAUACAAGGAAAUAUAUACUCUGCAUGGUAUCAGCCUAACCUAGGGUUCUCUCUCUCUCCCUUAUUCGAUCCUCUUCUCCUUUAGGUCCACCUCAUGGCUUUGUCUGAAUCCACCAUCUCCCUCCCAAGCCCCAACUCUUCUAUUUUAUCAAGCUUAUUGACUCCAACUAUCUUCUUUGGCUCCGCCAACUCAAACCCUUUUUAGUCGGCCAUGACCUCUGGAAAUUUAUCGAUGGCAUUCAUAAACAACCUUCUGCCCACACCUCCACCUCUACCACCGCAACACCCACAACCACCACCACUCUUACCCAAAUCAAUCAUGCCCAUGCUCAGUGGUACCAACAAGACCAACUCAUUGUUAGCUACAUCACCAAUACACUCUCUGAGUCCAUUCUCUUUCUCACUGUUGGUUGCACCUCUGCCCGGGAUCUCUGGGAGUGUCUCCAACGCCACUUCUCUCAAUCCAGUAUGGCCAGUGAAUCUACUCUUCGUUUUAAACUCAUGGAUUUGCAAAAAGGCUCUGAACCCACUUAUGCUUACAUUCGUCAUGCUAAGUCCUUUGCCGAUUCACUGGCUGCCAUCAAUGAACCUGUCUCCCCAAAAGAACUUGUCACUACUGUGCUUUGGGGUUUAAGACCCUAUUGCAACAUCCUCGUCACAGCAAUUCUCAAUUUCCCUCUGCUUCCUAACUUUGCUAAUCUUCGUGCUCGUUUGUUAGCAUUUGACGCACAGACUCCUUGAAUCUCUCCUGAUCAAAACACAGCGCAAAUGGCCACCCAAUCCUCUCCUCACACCACCGGUCAUACUUCCUUCCCUUCUCACCGUGGUGGUGGCUCUUCCAACAACAGGCGUGGUGGCCUCGGUGGCUGGCGCAAUAGCGGCCGGGGUGGCUGGCGCAGCUUCUCAUCUUCCUGGAGCAACCCGUGGAAUGGCUUCCAGCAGCUCCAAUGACCUAAUCAACCAUGGCCUCCUUUUGCUCCAAGUUCUGGAUCUCAAAGCAACUGGCCUUCCUUUCAGCCUCCUUGGGCCUAAUCUGCCGCUUCUAUCAAACACUUUGCCCGGCCCAACUCAGCUCCUGGUGUCUUGGGACCCGCUUGGUGCACUACCUGCAAUACCAAUCACAUACUACUACAAUAUGUCCUCAUCGCUACAAUGGCCCAGAAUCCUUUCUUUGCUAGGGCUCAAUUCAUGUAGCCACCUGACUCUACUUGGUACCCUGACACAAGUACCACUCAUCAUAUGAUUGGUAGUCCUUCUAAUCUCCAAAAUCAAUCCUUCUAAUCUCCAAAAUCAACAGCCAUAUCAGGUUCAUAAUUCUGUAUUUCUUGGUAAUGGAGAUUCUCUCCCUAUCUCUCAUACUAGCUCUCUCUUUUGUCUUCCAUCUCUUCGUACUAAUCUUCUUUUUGUUGCCCAUUUUACUUGUGAUAAUUUAGUUUUCUUUGUCUUUACUCUUGACUUUUAUCAAAUCUAUGACUUAUGUACUGGUUCGUUACUCUUUCAGGGCCCUUCUAAAGAUGGUCUUUACCCACUUUCCAUCUCCUCUCACUCAUCCAUAGUCCCCCAUGCCCUUACCACCGUGCACUCUCCUGCUUGGCAUCAUUGCCUUGGCCAUCCAUUCCAUCGUGUGCUCUCUCAUUUAGCGCCAUCUCUAGGCUUUAAAGUUUCUCAUGCUUUCUGUAAGGAUUGUGCACUUAGCAAAUCCACCAAACUGUCAUUUCUUAGUAAUAAAACCUUUGCCCCAUCUCCCUUUUAUUUAAUUCACUCUGAUGUAUGGAUGUCCUCGGUCAUUUCUGUCACUGGUUAUCGCUAUUAUGUCUUGUUUACAGAUGACUUUUCUCGUUACUCCUGGAUCUAUCAUAUGCACCGUAAAAAUGAGGUCUUUUCUCACUUUCAAACCUUUCUUGCUAUGGUUAAAAAUCAAUUUCACACCACUGUACAAAUUCUUUAAAGUGACAAUGGCACUGAAUAUGUUAAUAAUGCUUUCUCUGAUCUUUGCAGUCAACUAGGCAUCCACCAACGUUUCACAUGUCCCCACACUCCCCAACAAAAUGGCCUAGCUGAACAUAAACACAGACACAUUGCCACCAUGAUCUGUCCCCGGUCAUUUAUUCAACCAUCUUGACCUUUUGCUUGAUCAUUUUCCACAAGCAACCGUCCACGUACCCCAAUAAUUUAAAAGGGCUGAUGAUCUUUAAUUUGGUGAAAGCUUCUAUCUACCUACCGUGCUAUAUAUGAGCUAUGCAAUCGUGACCGUGUUACAUGACGUCCCAAUGUCGUAGGGAUAAAAAAAUAAUAGUCAUGGUUUUCUUAUUAAUGUCAAUACAUUCAUAGCAAAGAGCUUGUAGCUCUAGUGGUUAAGAGCAAUUACCCAUGCACUUGAGAUAUUUUGUGUUUAAAUCCCCUCUUCCCCAAUAUUUCUUGUAUAAAAAUAAAAAUAACAAUAAUAAUGACAUUAAUGUUGUAUUCUAUAAAGUGUUGGACAUGUUUUAUACCCCUUUCUUGCAAAUUACAGUUUGCCACGUGUACAAAAAUAAUAGAUAAGUGUUGGACAUCAAGAGCACUUACAUAUAGGUUUAAUAGGUAAGUUUUGAAUAUUUCUGUAUUUAGCUUUAAAUAUUGAAAAUCAACCUAUUAGCAUAUUAAAGAUUUGUCCAUAUUCGACGUACAUUCUCUUAUUUUUCUCUCAUUGAAGUAAAUACAAAACUAAGCACAUAGUGGGAAAGUGCGUCACGAUUAGGGGUGGGUUUAGUCUAGGUUGGUUCAUUUUUGGGCUCAAUUUGAACACCGAACUGUAAGCUUCGGUUUGGCUAUUUUGGAAACCGAAACCAAACCAUAAUUGAUGAAAACCGACCACUUCGAUUACCUUCUGGUCUUCCAACCAGAAGAAAACUCAAAACUUUAACCAUACCAAGUGCAACAGAAUUACACCAGGCUGGAUUCAAGUUUAUGAUGGUUAAAGAUAAAAACUUAUUUGACAUACAAUUUGAGAAUGGAAUCCUCAAAAUUCCACACCUGCGAAUACGGGGUUUAACAGAAAUUUUCUUCCGCAAUCUUAUUGCCUAUGAGCAGUGUGAGCUUCAUGAUCAUUACAUCAACGACUAUGUCUUCAUCAUGGACCGCCUGGUCGACAGUGCCAGGGAUGUGGAAUUGCUUGUGAAGAGUGGAAUUCUUGAAUCUAUGCUACCGGACAGCGAGGCAGCAGGGGAAUUUAUUAAUUCUCUUGACUUGGGGCCUAUUUUAGGCAAGCUUGAAACAAGACUAUUUCAGUUCACCAUGGGCUGGCCUGUCUAUUAUUGUAGCCGCUAUACUAGUUGUGCUCACAUUUAUUCAAACAGUGUGCUCCGUAAUGGCGCUGUAGGUUCUUCAUUUCCUCAAUUUCAUGUUUAGUGGUUGCAGAUUUGUUGCUCAUGUACGUGUUUAUCUAAAGUUAAAUAAGAGUGAUUGACUGGAUUGACUGUUAGUCUGUUAGUUUGUUUUUCUGGGGUUUUUCCCCCCUGUUCGUCAAAAAAAAAAAUAAAAGAGUGAUGGCUUGUGCCUAUGAAAAUUACUUAGGAGUAUGCUCCACAGAGCCAAAAUAAAUAAACUAGGGAAGUGGAGGUUCUUCUGUUUGUAUAUAAAUGAGCAAUUCAAACUCUCAGUGCCAAGGGAGUUACCCUUGAUACAUUUGUUAAAAAUUAUAUAUUUGGUCUUACAUCAAACAAAUAAUUUGAAGGGCUUUUUUGACAACUGCUGACAGCGUUUGGCAGAAAAGUUUAGAAGCGCUUCUACGCUUCUAGAUCAUAAAAGUGCUUUACCAAAAAGCACUUAGAUUUCUUAUGAAAAUUUCAACAUUUUUAUAAUAAAAGCGCUUGCUAGAAGCACUUAUAAGCAGAAGUGCUUCAUAGAGAAGCAGUCCCAAACGAGCUUGAUUUUCAAAUGUGCUGCUUAAGAAGAAAUUUAAUACGUUUUGAAAACAAAAAAAAAUACGAAAUUUAAUACGUUUGUUUUACAAAUUGUAUUAAUUGUUAUCAAUAAUACUUGUGCACACCCACAACAUACUUCUUUCUUUCUUUAUUUUCCUUCAGUACAGUUCUGCCUUUCUUUAAUUAUUUUUAACGAAUGCAAAGAGUUUGUCACAAAAUCAAGGAUUGAAAAAAAAAGAGAGUAAAUUAUGUGCUAGAGAAACUUUCCUGCAGAAAUUGAAGAACAACUCUAGUUUCUCUCUUUCGCCUUGUACUCCCGCACUGAGGUUAGUAUUGUUAUAAUGUGCAGAUUAUACGGUCACUCUUGUAUAAUGGCGAGAAGGCUCUAAUUAUAUUUUUGAACCUCUUUGACAGGACCCGCCCCGAAUUUCCCGAAACCCAAGACGAAUUCUGUGGAAAUUCCCUACAUCACCCCGAUGUUGGGCCCACUUCUAAAACUAUAUCAUUUUUCCUAAAAAGGAAUAAGGGCACGAGACUUUCUACCGAAAUUUCGGCAGAGUCUCUCCUGUAAAUUGAACAUUUCCCAAAAUUUCAACCUGCAUAAAACACAUUUUAUAUUACCCAACUGGCAGCAUGCACAAAAUAAUAACAUGCAAUUCACAUAAACGGCCUCUGGCCCUCCGGUAAUUCAGAGCAAUGCAAACUAGCAACUCUAAACCUAAUAAAACAACAUAAGUAACAUUUAGCCAGCGGCUGCACCCAGGCACUACCCUAGGCUACCUACGUACCCUUACUAAGGGAUCAAGCCACACGUAGUUCUUUCAUACAAAAUUUCCAAAUCCAUCAACAUGCAAUCAAUUACAGAAUCCCAAACAAAAUCUUUCUCAAACAUCAUUAGUUCCCAACUCAGUAUAAUAAUCCUUAAUUCAUCUCUGUAAUAAUCACAAUAUCUCCCCAUACGCCGGAACUACCAACACCACGUAUGGAGCCUGCCUGUACGCCAGAUAACCAACGACACGUGGGACCUCAUCAUCAUAUCACAUAAUCUCCCCAUACGCCGAAACUACCAACACCACGUAUGGGGUCUGUCAACACGCCGGAUAACCUACGACGUGUGACCUCAACAUCAAAUCACAAUAUCUCCCCAUACACCGGAACUACCUACGCCACGUAUGGGGUCUGUCCACAUGCCGGAUAACCUACGACACGUGGGACCUCAUCAUCAUAUCACAUAAUAUAUUAACGAUCAAGAAAUAUCACUACGGUCAUUUAAUCCUCCUGGGAAGGUAAAACUAUCUCAGGAGACUCACGGUCAACCAAGGGUCAAACUACCUCAUACUUGGACAAACGAGCCCACGGAGCCCACAACCUCCGUUUUACUAUCCAAGAGUUCCUAUAGGUUCUACAAGGUUUAGGAUACACGGCUUGCAAGUUUGGUCAAGAUCAGACGGUCGGAUCGCUCACGAUAGGACGGUUACUGCAAACCUAGCCCUAGGGUUGGCAUUUUCGGAGUAUCCGAAACUCCGUUUUACGAUCUGUCGAAUCAUAGACGAUCCUAAGGAUUUGCAGACUAACUAUAAUAAAUUCAAGACCAUCCAACGGUCUAAACCUAUCGAACCCGGAUAACGCGCAAUAGGCAAUAUCCAAAUUGAAAUCCGAGCACACCUACGCACUCGUGAGGACUAGGAGAUUACAUCGGGACAUAGUGCCCUUUUUCUACAGUGCCCAUGAGCCGCCGCACGCACCAGCAACGCGUGGGUGCCCAAAGCGAUUAUGCAUCGCCAAAAAAUCUCAAAACCACGGCUCAAGACUCCUACCCUAGGUAUAACACCCUAUUUGGAACCACUUUUGUUCUUGGACCUACCCCAAAAACUGAUCAGAAGUGGCCGGAAUGGCUGAAAUGUAAUUCAAAAAUCAAGCUACCAACGCUCAAAAUCGAUGCAAUCCUACCCAACCAUCAACUAGAUUAUGAAGAAUGGAUAAAUUUCCAUACCUUGAUCGCCAACAAUGGCGGCCGGAGGAGAGAGAUCUGAUCCGGCGAAGUUCGAGUGAAAACGGCCAAAAAUCAUCUUUUUCAGGCGGCUGGAGGGCGACCGAUGUCAGGGAAGGGCAGGGUCGUGACGCUAAGGCUGAGCCUGUCCUUUUGGCACCGGUCCCUUCCGCAGCCGUGUCCGGUGGCUGGAGUUUCGAAGAGAGAGAGAGAGAGAGAGAGAGAGAGAGAGAGAGAAAUCUGAUUUUUAUCAAACCUUUUUGCCAAAAUUACGGUUAUGCCACUGAGGGUAUUUUGAUAGUAUCUCUCUCGUUACAACUUCGAUUCGAGCCCACCACGUGUGUACGGACUCAUCUAACUGUGUUGUACGCAACGGUAUAGUCGAAAUUCCCAAAUUAUUUCCUUGUCAAAAAGUCAACUUUAAACAUUAUAAAAUAUUUUAGGGAAAAAAUGGUAUUUUCUCUCAAUAAAUUAGUAACUAAUUUAUUUAGGACUGGGUCAUUAUACUCUUUUUCGCUUCAAUGGAUGGGAAAAAAUUUUAUGUAAUAUCCCACAUCGACCAACGAAGAGGGGGCGAUGUGUCUUAUAUGUACAUGCCCGCCUCCAUCUAGCAUAAGGCCUUUUGGAAGCUCACUGGCUUCAGAGUCAUGGGAACUCCGAAGUUAAGCGAGUUGGGGGCUAGAGCAAUCCCAGGAUGAGUAACCCACUGGGAAGUUGCUCGUGAGCUUCGAGAAACAAAACCGUGAGGGCAGAGAGAGGGGCCCAAAGCGGACAAUAAGGCCUCGUGCUAGAUGGAGGCGGGCAUGUACAUAUAAGGCACAUCACUCUCUCUCCGUUGGUCGAUGUGGAAUGUUAGAAUGGAAUUGUUACCUUUGGUGUGGAGGUGUUCUAUCAUUUGAGCAAGAAAUUCCCACAUAUUCUUCAACUAUUUUUCAAGCAUGCAUAUUCCUCCCUAUCAAUCUUUGGUUUCUUCCUUUACUGUGCAUAGUAAGGAUCCAGUCAGGGACGGACCGUCGCUAUGACUAUCCUGGGCUAUAGCCCAGGCAAAUUAUUUUUUUUUCUAGUCUAAAAUAGCAAUCCCACCGCUUGCUGUAGUACUUGUUCAGUUCGUCACAAACAUGAGCAUAAUAGAAGUUAUCAACAUCUAUAUAGGAACCCCAAUGAAAAGGCUGUUAACUAAUAAUGAAGUUAACCCGUCAAUUUUUCCGCAUAUCAGAUAUCUCUCAGAAUAUGCGAUUCCAUAUUCAAUAAGCCACUCCACAUGCCCUGAGGUUUUCAUCAAACCACCCAUUAAGGAAACAUACUGACUCAUGUAAUUAUCAUUACUCAUCGGGUAAUGCAAUUGUUCAAAGGCAAGGACAUUUCUCAUUAUUUAUGUAGCGAACCCCAAUGGAAAUGGUGGGAUCUUCAGAACCCCAUCGGUGCUACUGAAUUGUAUGUCAAAUAUGUUUUCACCUUGUCACGCCUCAAACUUGACUCCAGCGUGCUGUAAUUCUGUCAAGCUGGGUAUGGAUGAUGGGAGUUUGAUGCAGGAGCAUAGGGGUGGAUCAAGAUAGAUAUUUACUAUUUAAUUAGUUAUUUCAUGAUAUAUUGUUAUUUUCUUAUUUAGGUAGUUUUAUGAUAUCUUUUAUUAUUUAUGUGUGAUUUUAUAAUUAAUUAGUAUACUUUUGGACCAAGUAGCCUUGGUGCUCAAGUCUUGUAAAGCCUAUAAAUAAGGCUAAUGUAAUAGUUGUAGAAUAGAUGUCGAUGAUUAAUAAAAUCGUUUAUUUGUGGCAUGGAUUUGCUACGAUAUAUGUGAGUUUGCACUAGCCCUAGAUUUCAGUGCUCGUGUAUGUGGUUGGUGACCUGUGUCCGGAUCCCGAUCCCCAUCAAUUGGUAUCAGAGCUAUGGCUCAAGAUCUGCUAUAUCGGGGAGGUUUUUGGAUGGAGGGUCGUUUUAACAACUACAACGACAUGGAGGAAAUUAGGAGGAUGCUACGGCAACUUAUGGAACACAUUGCUCGCAUUGAAGCUCGAACCCAGAUAGGUAAGAGUUCUGACGGGGAGGGAUGUGUGAACCCUUAUCUGAACCGAGUAGCUCGCAUCGACACUCUAAGCCGUGAGAGUCUCGACGGGGAGUACGAGGGAGAUAGCCCUUUUCAUUAUUGUGCUCCGCUGUGUGAGUCAAGUGAAGAGGGGCACGGUUAUUCUCAUUGUGUCUUUGAAGGUAUAAAUGAAUUUAGUAAUUUUGGUGCAUCUUGUUAUUCAUCAAAGUUAUUAAAUUUGGAUUUACCUCCAUUAUUUGAUCCUUGCAAUUGUGAAAAUUGCAAUAAAAAUUGUUUGGGUGUUCAAAGCAAUUUUGAUAAGCAAUUUAUUGACCAGAACAGUGAAGAGAUGAGAAUUGAGAAAACUUUCGAAGAUAUUAUUGAUUUUAUGGGCAUUAAUAUUUUCACUUGGAAGGUUGCCAAAAAUCUGGUUGAUUUUGUCAAUCGGUUGAAGAUUCUAGAGAGAAACAUUUGCAUUGCUAGAGGGAGUAAGAAGUCAAGAAUAACGAAAUAUUCCAAAUAUCUUUUUAUUUGGAAAGGAAGGUUUCAAUUGGAUGCUAAAAGAUCCAAAAUUAAUAUGCAGCAAUUGAAGAUUCUACUCGGAUUUUCCUUAAUCAAAGGCUUGAAUUCGAGGACGAAUUCUUUCCAACUAUGGGAGUCUGAUGCAGGAGCAUAGGGGUGGAUCAAGAUAGAUAUUUACUAUUUAAUUUGUUAUUUCAUGAUAUAUUGUUAUUUUCUUAUUUAGGUAGUUUUAUGAUAUCUUUUAUUAUUUAUGUGUGAUUUUAUAAUUAAUUAGUUUACUUUUGGACCAAGUAGCCUUGGUGCUCAAGUCUUGUAAAGCCUAUAAAUAAGGCUAAUGUAAUAGUUGUAGAAUAGAUGUCGAUGAUUAAUAAAAUCGUUUAUUUGUGGCAUGGAUUUGCUACAAUAUAUGUGAGUUUGCACUAACCCUUGAUUUCGGUGCUCGUGUAUGUGGUUGGUGACCUGUGUCCGGAUCCCGAUCCCCAUCAGAGUUCCCCUCCAGCUUUUGAUUCCAACGGUUGAUAGAGUUUAAAUAUUUUCCUGAAAAGAUCAAUAAUAUGUGCCACUGAUCUAAAAGUCUCCAAAUUGUCUUCCAAUUUGUCAACAGGCAAUAGAUGUUCGAAGAAACUGAAAGAAAUACAAAUUAUUGAAAGCCCCUCAGUAAUGCUGUUAUUGUCAGCAUUAGCAGGGAGUGUAAUUUUCUGUGGGUCGAAAAGAUCCUCGAGAAUGAAGAAUGGCAACUGAUUUUCAAGCAACCACGUAUCUGUCCAUGCAUCUUGCAACAUACCUGGUUUGUCAAAUAUGCGGUCAUUUUCGUCCCAAAAUUUGAAGUAGUCCUUCAAUAAGGGCUCAAUAACGAAGGCGGCGCCCACUAGAAUGAUUGUUACAAAUUCAUCACUGCUAAACUUGAUGGGUUCUCCAUAACAACGUCUCAAUCUUGCUUCGUGGUCCUUUAUUUUCUUAAUAUAAUCCUCCAAACUCACAUUGGUCCGACCUAUAAAAUCUUGCAGGUAUCUCUGUUUGUUCUCUUCCAAUACGACAUUCAAGCCUUCCUUUCCAUGGUGAAGUGGACCUAUAGAGACCGACUGCCUGAGGUGUGCAGAGCUUUUCAUUCACACAUACGUAGAUAAAAUGUCUGGGGGCUCAGAGAGUGAUGAAUGUGCAACAGCUAAUGGGAGGGUUUAUAUUCCUGAAGUAAGAAAUGAGGAAACACCAGCAGUUGGGAUGAAGUUUGACUCGCUUGACCUCGUUUACAAUUUCUAUAAUAGAUAUGCAUUCUUGGCUGGCUUUGGUAUUCGACUUCAUUCUAGCUUUUGGGGGAAAAAUAAGAAAGAGAUUUUGAGGAAAGAAUUUGUAUGUUGCAAACAAGGUGCAUACAAGAAGGAUGAAACUCGGGAGAGAAAAAGACAACGGGGAAUAAGUAGAUGCAAUUGCAAAGCAAAGAUUGUGGUUGUGAAGACAAAUGGGAGCAAGAAGUAUACCAUUUCUCUUUUUGCAGAGGGACACAAUCAUAAGAUGACACCCUCAGAAAGAAUGCAUUUAUUGAGAUCACACCGUCAUAUUUCAGAUUCUACAAAAGUACUCACAAAACAGUUGGGUUCAGUUAAUAUUCCCAUUCAUCAGAAGGUAAGUAUAUUCGAGGUGCAAUCCGGAGGAAUGGAUAAAAUCGGUUUUAUCAAAAAAGAUAUCUACAAUCUUGAAUGUAGUGUGAAUGGGAAGCUGAGGAACCACGAUGUUGAACUAGUGACCGAGUAUUUUAUGGCUGAACAGAAAAAAAAUGAGGCUUUUUAUUUCAAGAUUGAGGGAGAUGGGCAUGACAGGUUUAGUCGAUGUUUUUGGGCAGAUGCAACUUCUAGACGGGCGUAUGGGUUUUAUGGAGAUGUUGUUGUAUUCGAUACCACAUUCAACACGAAUCGAUACGACUUGACAUUUGCACCAAUGUUGGGAGUUAAUAACCAUGGUCAGACAAUUGUCUUAGCAUGCGCAUUUUUGAGCAAGGAAACGACUGAGUCGUUUGUUUGGAUGUUUGAGGAGUUUAAGAAAGCCAUGCCAGGUGGGGAACCUAAAACGAUCAUUACAGAUCAAGAUGCGGCAAUGGCCAUAGCGAUUUCAAUAGCCUUCCCGAGUACAUUUCAUCGACUUUGCAUAUGGCACAUCACAUCAAAGUUCUCUGUUAAGUUACCACGUGACGCUUAUAAGGAGUAUUGGCCUGAAUUUCAGAAAGCCAUAUGGGAUACUGACAAUAAGGAUGAGUUUGAUGCAAAAUGGAAUAUUGUGGUUAUAAAGGCUGGUUUGACUGACCAUCCAUGGCUAAGUUCAAUGUUUGAUUUAAGGGAAUCUUGGGUUCCAGCCUACGCACGACAAUUUUUUGCCGCUGGAAUGUCAAGCAGCCAAAGAGCGGAAGGUUCUCAUGGUUUUUUCAAGCAAUACAUAUCAAGGAGAAAUUCGUUGAUGGAUUUCAUAAUACGAUUUGAGAGGGCAUUUUCUCAUCAACGUGAAAAAGAGUUAGUUGCUGAUCACGUAGAUGCAUUUGAAGUGGCUCAAUGUCUUCUACCGAUGCCAAUGAACAAACAAAUGGCUACCUUGUACACAAGGACAAUGUUUCAAAAGUUUGAGCAAGAACUAAUACAAAGUACAGCAUGUUUCCUAGAGCUCAAAACAGAGGAUGCAUGUAAAGUUGUGUUCAACGUGAGCGAAAGGAAAAAUUGGGAAACAAGAGUGGCAGAAGUCGUAUAUGUCAAAGAUUCUGACCACGCAUCGUGUAGCUGCAAAAGAUUUGAAUUUGUUGGAAUUAUUUGCAAGCACAUCCUAGCAUUGUUCAGAAGGGACCAGAUUGAAUAUAUGCCCGAUAAAUAUAUUUUGAAGAGGUGGAAGAAAACUGCGAAAUGUGGAUUGGUGUCAGAUGCAAAUGGCAACGAAAUUAAAGACUGUGCAGAUCCUGGCCUUCUAAUAAAGCGGAGUACAAUGUCUCGACUUGCUUCAAAUGUGGUUGAGGAUGCAUUAAUGAGUGAAGAAGGAUGUGAGCUACUGUCAGAGACUCUAAAAAGUUUGCAGGUGAAGUUGAAGUUGCUGAAGGAUGGACCAAGUAAUAACGAAGUUGGAGGGUCCAGCUCUCAAACACAAUAUAUGAAAGACCCUAAGAGAGUGAGGUGCAAAGGAAGGUCGAAAGGAAUAACGGGAGCAAAGGAAAAGGCAAUGAAGCGAGGGAUUAGACACUGUCGGGAGUGUGGACACAUUGGUCAUGAUAGAAGACAAUGCCCAGCCUUGAACACACCGUAAGAUGCUACCACUAUUUGUAAUAAUAUCUAAAAUAUGAAAAGGUAAAAUUUUUAUGUGCUUGUGUUUGAUGUUUAUGCAGGACAUCACCGUCGAACAAUGACAAAUCAACUCCAAUACAUCGUAGUGACCCAUUAUUCGACGAUUUUGACAAGAUGCACAGACCAACUGAAUGAUUGAUAUUUGUAUUAGACGAAAUGUGGUUGUUAUGAAGAUUAAUGAUCAAGUGAAGUUUUAUAGAUUCAGUUUUUGAAUGUUAUUGUGUUUUUGUUCAUGUCCACCGAUGAGCUCUUACUAUGUCCACUGGUAAUUGAAAUGAAAAUUUUCUUGGUUUCAUUCUUCCAAGACAUUUGGAGACAUGUUAAUUUUACGUCUUCUCCCUAUUUAUAAAUUUUCAUAGACAUUUGAUCAAGUUUGAAAUUUGUAGUUAUGUGAAGAAGCAAUGACUCUUACCAUGUAAAAUGGGCAGUUUAGGGUGAAAUUUGUUUUAACAGAGAUUCAUUUUUCAAUUCCUCAGGGUAAUGCAGCAAUUACAGCAGCCAGCUGUUGUUUCCAUUACCAGUAAUCAUUUCCAGCAGCAGCCACUUUUUCCGACUGGUUAUUAGGGGCACGAUUUUGUACACUUUUGUAAGUGAAGGAUACUCGAAGCACUUUGUUGGAACAGAGCAAAUAGAAACCAGCGGGUAAAAAAAAAACAUAACAUUGCAGCUAAUUACAUUUCGAUACAUAGGUGAAAAAUAUUAAAGGGUACACUAACUUACAUAAAUACUCAUAAUUCCACACACAAAAGAACAUUUGAUUGCAAAACAUAUUAUGUGCUUCCUCAUAGCAAUACCACGAUCUCCCCAACCAACUGAACAACGGUAGCCACAAUCACUGGGUCGUACUCGUCAGCUUCUUCUUAGCAGGUCUCACAUGCUUAUGGCCACUCAUAUCCCUAGUGAUAUACACGAAAUAAAUCUUCAGCAAUAUUUGGAAUUUUAUUAUAUAUAAAUAAACCAUAAACCAUUCAGUAAACAAUGUAUAGCACAUGUUAUGUAACUUAUGACUCACGUGUCAGUUUUUUUUUUAACACAUUAGUACUCCAGCUCUUUAAUGUAAAUGGACAUGAUAAGGAGCAUUUACUGAUUCCCGGCUUUCUAUGAUAUUGACUGCUUCUUGAAUAAUAUUUCCAUAUUUGCAAAAUAUAAUGUUAGACAUUAUAACACAUGAUGACUUGCAAUACAUAGUCCCAAUAAUUAUAUAUCAAGCAAAUGAAACUGAUAUUUGUGUUAUUUUAAGUUAGAUAAUGACAUUAAGGGAGUAUAUGUGCAAUACCACGGUCACCCUCAACCAACUGAACAGCGGUAGCCGCAAUCACUUAGUCGUAUCGGUCGGCUUCUUCCGAGCAGCUUUGACGUGCUUAUGCUCAUUCAUGUCACCCCCAUCGUCUAGUAUCUCUCUCACAGCAUCAGGGGACACAUAGUUCCAAUCAUAACUUGUAUGAGUAGUUGCCGCAAAUGCUCGGAAUUUGUCGAAUCCUUCGUUGAAUGCCAACUCCAGUUCAGUAUGGUGCUCUUCGCAUCGCAUAUGGUUCAUCAAACAACCUUUGAUUUCAUCAUUCAUUACUGUAUCCAACUCCUCAGCUUUCAGCUUCCUGCUAUGACUCAGCUUCAAGUACUUGUUCUUUUGGGAUAACGCUUUGUUCACCCUAAUGUUAAGAUCAGCCAAAAUUGCCUCGUCUUCAACACAUUUCUCGUGCCAUGAAUUGAUCAGUCUGGAAUUAUAAUCCAGCUUGCCACUGACUGCAUGUAUUGCCUGUAAUGGAUCAUCGGAGUCCCCCUCACUCCCAAAUGAUGUUGAAAAAGGAAGGGGUCGGCGAGUACAAUGUGGAAAUAGAACCUGCCACUCCAAUUUGUCAUCUUCGAUUGUGUUGUUGGCGCCUGAAGAGGUUGACAUGCUUGAAUAAUCCUCUUUGUUUUGGGAGGAUGAGGAUUGCAUAUGCAAUUUCGUUUGAGAAAGGGAACAUAGGUUUAUAGACCAACAUACCAAAGCUUGUGUGUAGUCAACAUAUGUACUUUUUGGCGGGAAUUUUUUAAAAAUAGGUGUUAGGUUUUGCUUUUCAAGCAUGUCAACCUCACACUCUCCUGACACCACUGCUAGUGGUUGAAACAAAGUCAAUGGAAGUGACAUCUACUUAGUUAACUCAACCAAACUAGUUAGGAUUAAACUUAGAUUGUAUCAGACCAAAAAAUAAUUUCUACUUUGUCAACCAAAUAUUUUUUGGCGGGAACCCUUUUCUUGGUAUUACUAUCACCCCUUUCAUAUAAAAUCUCCUUCCACACAAAACUCACUCCUCCACCGAAUCUGUCUCCAUCUACCGAUACUCUCUCAAGCAAACAAACUCAUUCCCCCCAAAGAAUGAGCAUAAGCACAACCAAGUUUGAUGUGAGCAUAAUAAACACCCCUCCAAACAAAGACCGGCUUCGACACGCAAGUGAGUCACCGGACAAGCAAUGUCACAUUGCUAGACAGAAUGACCAUUUUGUUGGAAGUUUUGAGUCUGAAAGAGUUGUUGCUUUUUGGAAGGAGAGGCAUCUUCAACUUGGUGAUGAAAUCCAAAGGGCAAGGGCACGUUUGGAAUUUGUGGAAGGCCAAAUUGAAGAUGACAAAAGGCAGGCCAAUCUGGAUAGGGCGAAGUUGUAGCGCAUGAAGCGUAGACACAAACGACUUCGGAGUGUAGCUGUUCAAAAAUACAAGAACUCAUCUAAUGUAGUGGAGUCAAAGAAGCGUGUGAUGCAAGCUGGAUUCGACUACUUCCGAUCCUAUGCAAAACUCGUCGUACCCGGGUUUGAUUGGUCAUCUAUUACCGUUUCCGACGUCACCAAAUAUACUCAGCAAGGGAAGUAACCAUUUUGGUUCUCGUGUUUUAGCAGAGGCAAAUAAGUGGAAUUGGAAUUUUGGUUACACUCUGCUUCAAAGCUAUUUUGAUGCUAACUACUAUGGAAGAUUUAAACCUUAAUAUUUUGAUGUCUUUAAUUACGAAAACAGAAGAUGCAAAGAGCUCAUCUACUUCAGCCAUAUGUUGCUGCCAUGUCCAUUUGUUUUUGAUCACUUAUCAGAUUUGGACAUGGUUGCAUCAUAUGCAAUGUUGCCUUUAUUUAUUAUAUGUUAGGACAAGGUUUAUGGAAAAGCUUUUGUGAGUGCGUUUGUGACAAGGUUAUGGAAUUAUUAUGUACACUUUAUAUAUUGUUUUUUGUACUGGUUCAUUUCCUACUAUUUCUUGCUUUCUUUAUAUUUUAUGUUUGUGGAAUCCCUCUCAAAGUUAACAUAUACUGUGAAAAAAAUAUUAUGCAACUGAUUAUAUAAUCACUCAUAUAGACUAGGACAAAUAUUCACUAAGGGUUUUAAACUUGCUUCACUUGUGUGAUGUUAUUGACAAAAAGUAUGGCAUUAUUUAUGUGAUUUGACAUGAUUGAAAAUAUAUUACUGAUUCCCAAUGCGGCGUCAUAUGGACAACGUAUUGAAUACCUGUGACGUGUUAAUAACUCAAGGUGCAGUUGCAUGUGGACAACUUCUUGAAUACCUCUGACGUGUUGAAAACUCUAGGUGCAGUUGCAUGUGGACAACUUAUUGAAUACGAACUGACGUCUUCAAAGCUCUAGGCGUAGUUGCAAUGAUGGCUUCAAAGCAUGUGCAAUUAUUUUUUAUGUACAUUAUUAUAACAAAACAUAUUAUUGUAUAUAGUGAAACUAAAUAUUGUAUUAUUAGAAAUUAUAUUUCGAAUAUUAUCCGAAAUAUACGUGUUAACGUGAAUUUGGGUUAAGAGGAAAGUGAGUUAUGUACAAAUAAUUUUCAUUUUCUCAUUUUCCGGGCAUUUUUUGGAUUUUCGUAGAAUUUAUUACCUAUGUCCACAGAUUGUUGCACUAAAAAAGCCAAAAUAAUAGCAAGAGGACACCUGGAGCGAUCUCAGCCCGUCACUGAUGACUACUUGCACAAGUGUACGUCAGUCAACAUGGCCACACCCUCCCAUUUUACCCUAAAUUAUUAUUUUAUUACUUUUCCUUACAAAAAUCAGAACUAAUUACACACAAAAUAAAAAAAUUAUCCGAAAAUUGCUACGAACUCAUUGACACUCCAUCUCCGUUGCUGAAUUCUCCGAUUCAUUGUUACGUAUUUGUAAAAUUAAUUCCCAACAUUAACGGGAGAUGCUUGUUGAAGUAGGUUAUUCAAGUUGAAGUUAACAAACAUCAAUACUUAGGGUUAAGAGGAAAGUGAGUUAUGUAACACAAUUUGGAUUAUUUCAUUGCGAGACGAAUGAUUUAUAGGUUCUCCUAGUUUUAUGACGUCACAAGUAGGCCGGAGUAAUUUUUGGGGCAUUUUUACGAUUUUCCUACUAUUUUUUACCUAGUUUCAAAGAUUUUUGAACAAAAGAAUCCAAAAUGUAAAAGAAGAUGACACCUGGCGCGAUCUCAGCCCGUCACUUUUCACUACUUGCACAAGUGUACGUCAGUCAACAUGGCCACAUCCUCUCAUUUUACCCUAAAUUAUUAUUUUAUUACGUUUUGUCUUGGAAAAUUCAUAACUAAAUACACAAAAAUUCAAAAUUAUUUCUGAAAAUUGCUACGAACUCAUUGACACUCCAUCUCCGUUGCUGAAUUCUCCGAUUCAUUGUUACGCAUUUUUAAAAUUAAUUCCCAACAUUAACGGGAGAUGCUUGUUGAAGUAGGUUAUUCAAGUUGAAGUUAACAAACAUCAAUACUUAGGGUUAAGAGGAAAGUGAGUUAUGUAACACAAUUUGGAUUAUUUCAUUGUGAGACGAAUGAUUUAUAGGUUCUCCUAGUUUUAUGACGUCACAAGUAGGCCGGAGUAAUUUUUGGGCCAUUUUUACGAUUUUCCUACUAUUUAUUACCUAGUUUCAAAGAUUUUUGAACAAAAGAAUCCAAAAUUAACAAGAAUAUGACACCUGGCGCGAUCUCAGCCAGUCACUUUUGACUACUUGCACAAGUGUACGUUACCGAACAUGGCCACAUCCUCCCAUUUUACCCUAAAUUAUUAUUUUAUUACCUUUUUUCUUGGAAAAUUCAUAACUAAAUACACAAAAAUUAGAAAAACGAUCCGAAAAUUUCUACGAACUUAUUGCGAUUUCAUCUUCCUACUGCAUUCCCUGUUUAAUGGUUAUGCUACAUUAGUAUUUUAUUAUUAUUUAUCCACAAUUAUUAUAAUUAUUAUGAUAUUACUUUUUAGGCUGUCCAUUUGUUAAUUAUACCACAUCCAACUUGUUGAAAACAAUUUUAUUUUCCGUGCGAAUAGGCCAUUUGUAGUGCUUAUCGGUUUCUCUGUUCUUCAAUUUGUUAAUUUUUUUAUUUUUUAGGUUGAAGGGAUGUUUUGAAACAUAAUAUGGAAAUAUACAAGUCAUCCAUUGUACUCCUUCCACACAAAAAAAUAGUCUACGUCAUUCACUGUUCAACACCCUAGGUUAAGACACGUGUAACCAAAUCCGUUCGGAUAUGCUAAGUGGGAAAAUGUCAUUCCCAAGCACUGGUGAAAAGACACUUAUUUACUCCAUGCAUGACUUUUGGUUUACCAAAUAUGAAGAUUGGGGUCGGUGAGCAAAAUAUCUGUGUCAGUAAAAUGUCAUUCCUAGCCAUCUAUGAUGUAAGUAAUAAUUCCGCUAUAUAAUAAAUAUUAUACAUUUAUAUAUAAAACGGUUUAUGACAAAAUACCAACAUUUGAACAACAUUUAAACUGAGAUAGGUAUAACGUAGCCAGCCAACCUAGAAGUGAAGAGAAGCAAGUCCACAAUGCAUCAAAACUGUAAAUUCGUACUAAAACUAAUGCAAAAAUACGUGAUUCCCUCGCACAACUUACUCACGCAGGAUUUUGCACCAAAAAAUACUCUCACGGUGCCAUUUGCAUCGGUUGCAGCAAGUCCAAAACGCAGGAUUUAUCUUGUCUUCACUAGGCCACCCUGGAAUAACAAAAUACCAUUCAUUGUUGUUACAAGCGCUGCACCGAUUGAACUUAAUCUUCCCAUAGUCAAACAUAUCUACGAUAUGUCUUGCAACAAAUGCUCCGCGACAUCUUCCUGUUAAAGCAUCCCUGGUUCCUUUCAUAUCAAUGUUGUUACGUUGAUUCAAAGAACACAAGAAUUGUAAUGCAUCCUCUUUUGACUGACCAAUUCCGGACAUACCAAGUAGUCCAACUACAUAUGCCGCUUCCAUAUGGCCUGCCGUGGCUGCAAUGCGCAUCCCAUACAACGCUUCCACCUUACCGUCUGUGAAAAAACCUUCGAAUGCUUCUCUAAAUAUGGACUCAGGGUUAUCGCAAGCCCUGCAUUGUUGCAAGAAAUGCUGGACUGCAGGUUUGGCACGGUAGCAGAUAGGAUGGUGUGGGUACUUUGCCAUUGAAAUGGUGUUCCACACUUGUGGACUGUUUGCCAAAAUGUUGAACAAUCGGCACACACAUGCCAUACGGAAGAGAUCUUCCGAUGAUUCGGUUGCCACGUAUAACAUCACUUGAAACCAAGCGGACUCCGGGAUAAAGGCUUCGGGCAUAUCGAAAUGGAGAUGCUUCCUUCUCUUUCCUCCGACUGUAGUGAAGUGUUUCGAAUUCAUUGAAAAGUUUUUGGAAUGGAACGAUUUGAGGAGUGGCAGAGGGGAUAAAUGAUAAUAUUUGGGGUACACGUUCUACUUCCGAGCCUCUGUUUAUAGUGUUUUGAAAAGGUGUUUCCAGUUGGGGUUUUUCCAAGUUGACCCUUUUGAAAGAAACUGAAUCCAAGUGAAUUAAAACUUAAGACAAAAGAAGGGAAAACGUCAUAACGGUGCAUACAGAGUCAGACAGUUAAAAAGUUAAUUAAAUGGCUAUUUGCAUAGCCAUUUUUGGGUUUAUCCCACUAUCAAAUUCAUUGAUACAAAUGUGAUGGAUUACUGACUAGUGACAGAAGGUCCCAUCAUAUACUUUUUCAUUUUCGCACACCCAACUAUCCCUAGUAAUGUUAUUAAAAUGGAACCAAUAAUGACGGAUUCUUAUCCAACUAGUUGCCUUAAUGAAAUAUAAAUAAAUUAAUAAAAUUGAAGCAGUGUCCCGUCAUUAGUCAGAAAAUAUAUUUGGUAGUGAAGUAGUUUCUAUUGCUUUUCGGGCUAAAAGAUGUCACAAUGCUGACGGUACAGGUGUCGACAUCGUGACCAACCCACCAAAUGAUCCCAAAAAAAAGUAAUAUAACUCGAUUUGGGCAGAGAUGAGAGAGAGCUGAGUGACAAGUUUAGGGUUAUGAGUGAAGGGGUAUGAAUGACAACUAUGAGUGAGAAGGUAUGAGUCCGAAGAGGUUUCAGUGAGAAGAUUUGAGUGAGAAGAGGUACAACUGAGAAGAUUCAACAUGUCUUCGUCUUCAUCUCCUGCUCAAACAAAGAGGUGUCAGUAUUGUGGAGCUACAAUGGUGCUUCGGGUUUCAAAAUCUGAAAAAAAAUCGAGGGAAGCCAUUCUGGAAGUGUCUAACCUCCUAUGUAAGUUUUAAUUUAAAGAAUAUGUAUGUGGGUGAAAAAAAACCUAUGUCUAACUCUGACAGAAUUAUAUUCCAUAUAUGAUGCCUGCAAUUAGGGAGCCACCAGUUGCAAUGGAUUCGAAUGGGUUGAUGUAACCUCCGCUGAAGCAGAACAUCAAGAUGACACGUAUGAUGUUAGAGUGCUGAACAUGCUGAAGUCCAUUAAGGACUUGGUAUUAGUUUUAUUAGUUGUAUUAAUUGUCAUUUUAUUUGUUCUUUUAAUGAUCAUUUAACUGCACGGUUUAAAAGAUUGUGAAAGUUCUCUCGCACAAGACAUAUUGCACGCACCACCAAUGAGACCCUAAACCCAUUUUGUAAUAUUUGGUAACUGCAUGUAUUUCGCAUGUUAUUGAAUGUUUAUUGAAGGUUUAUUGAUAGUUUGCUGCAUGUAUAUGGAAUAUCAUUGCCCCAAAAUUGGAUGUUUAUUGGGGCCACAAGUAUCACUCAAGUAAGAAUGAAGGGGAGAAACGGACCUUAUUCUUUCUUAUAGUAGGAAGAACAACUGUUAAGUUUAAUAUCCUAUUCAAUACGACUUCCCUAUGGUUGGUGUACUUGGGGACUGAAGUAUAUUGCAUCAUUAUUGUGGGCAAGGGCAUGUCUAUUGUGUGUGUUAAGGGAGUAUUGUGUGGGCAAGGGCAUGUCUACUGUGUGUAUAUUGCAUGUCUACUGUGUGUAUAUUGCAUAUCUAUUCUCUGUAUAUGGCAGGCCAAGUUUGUGUAUAUUGUUUGUCUGUUGUGUGUGUAUUGCUUGUCGGUGCGUUUGUGAAUUGUGGUUCAUUUUGUGUAUAUUGUCUUUGUUUCUACUUUUAUGCUACUGAGCUGCGGAAAACCUCGCAUGUUUAGACACCUAUUAUGAUGCAACACAUUGCGAUUAAUGGUGGCUUGCAUCAACAAUGACAUAUCACUUUGCAAUGAUGUAAUACACUUAAAAAGCCGUCUUCAAAUCCCAAUUCACAUAUGCAGUCUUAAAAUUCUAAUUCAAUGCAGUUUGGUUAACAAACAUGUAAAUGUCAUGAAGGAGUUAGCGGUAGAAUUCGAUAAGGACCCGUACGUCUCUAUUGUGUAUUUACAUUAGUUUGAGAAUGGACAUUCCCAAAACCUUCUCAUGUACCAUUUGUCAUCUUCAACCAAUAUCAUGGGAAGUAAGCAUCUCCCCUUGUUAUCUCCGCAGCCAAUUUCAACCGAAAAAAAGGCAUGUUGUGCGAGGUGCAAGUAGCUAACGGAAGCUUAGCGCUGAAAAGCUCAAUGUACUUUAACACAAACAUGCCACAAUCGCCUCUGAAGCAAAACAAGAACUCGAUCAAUUCAACUAAUGACAUUCUAAUGUAAUUGACAAUUGAAAGUAAUAAAAUUAAAUUGCAAGUUGUGCUUACUCAUUAGACUGUUGUGGAACAUCCACACGCUCUAUUGGCCACGGACACCACCAAUCUCGGCUGCAAUUGUUUGCAUAAACACCUUCUUCAUAAAAGUCGAUGGUGUUGAGAAGAUUUGGAAGCGUAAUUGAUAGCGGGCCGAGUUCUUCCUUUACGAUGUCAUCUGGAAUUAGUGAAACCUUUGAAUCGUACACUUUGAUUCACACAAUACCAGAUCAAACANNNNNNNNNNNNNNNNNNNNNNNNNNNNNNNNNNNNNNNNNNNNNNNNNNNNNNNNNNNNNNNNNNNNNNNNNNNNNNNNNNNNNNNNNNNNNNNNNNNNNNNNNNNNNNNNNNNNNNNNNNNNNNNNNNNNNNNNNNNNNNNNNNNNNNNNNNNNNNNNNNNNNNNNNNNNNNNNNNNNNNNNNNNNNNNNNNNNNNNNNNNNNNNNNNNNNNNNNNNNNNNNNNNNNNNNNNNNNNNNNNNNNNNNNNNNNNNNNNNNNNNNNNNNNNNNNNNNNNNNNNNNNNNNNNNNNNNNNNNNNNNNNNNNNNNNNNNNNNNNNNNNNNNNNNNNNNNNNNNNNNNNNNNNNNNNNNNNNNNNNNNNNNNNNNNNNNNNNNNNNNNNNNNNNNNNNNNNNNNNNNNNNNNNNNNNNNNNNNNNNNNNNNNNNNNNNNNNNNNNNNNNNNNNNNNNNNNNNNNNNNNNNNNNNNNNNNNNNNNNNNNNNNNNNNNNNNNNNNNNNNNNNNNNNNNNNNNNNNNNNNNNNNNNNNNNNNNNNNNNNNNNNNNNNNNNNNNNNNNNNNNNNNNNNNNNNNNNNNNNNNNNNNNNNNNNNNNNNNNNNNNNNNNNNNNNNNNNNNNNNNNNNNNNNNNNNNNNNNNNNNNNNNNNNNNNNNNNNNNNNNNNNNNNNNNNNNNNNNNNNNNNNNNNNNNNNNNNNNNNNNNNNNNNNNNNNNNNNNNNNNNNNNNNNNNNNNNNNNNNNNNNNNNNNNNNNNNNNNNNNNNNNNNNNNNNNNNNNNNNNNNNNNNNNNNNNNNNNNNNNNNNNNNNNNNNNNNNNNNNNNNNNNNNNNNNNNNNNNNNNNNNNNNNNNNNNNNNNNNNNNNNNNNNNNNNNNNNNNNNNNNNNNNNNNNNNNNNNNNNNNNNNNNNNNNNNNNNNNNNNNNNNNNNNNNNNNNNNNNNNNNNNNNNNNNNNNNNNNNNNNNNNNNNNNNNNNNNNNNNNNNNNNNNNNNNNNNNNNNNNNNNNNNNNNNNNNNNNNNNNNNNNNNNNNNNNNNNNNNNNNNNNNNNNNNNNNNNNNNNNNNNNNNNNNNNNNNNNNNNNNNNNNNNNNNNNNNNNNNNNNNNNNNNNNNNNNNNNNNNNNNNNNNNNNNNNNNNNNNNNNNNNNNNNNNNNNNNNNNNNNNNNNNNNNNNNNNNNNNNNNNNNNNNNNNNNNNNNUUUUCCUCUCCCUCAUCUCUAUUAUUUGGCCCUUCACCCCCUUCAAUCCCUUCAUCUUCUUUUUCCUCUCCCUCAUUUCUGUUACUUGGCCCUUCAUCCCAUUGAAUGUCAUCCAUUUCCCCAUAUCCCUUAAAUAGAUGUGAGACGACACAACGAUUCGUCCUCUGUUUCAGUAAAGCUAGGUCCCUCCUUACUUCCUGCUCAAACUGAGGACCUAAACAUUGGUCCAAUAGUUUUUCCAUCCGUAUGACCUUUAAGUGAAGGACGUCUUUUUCCCGCUUUUCUUGAAACAACUCGGACCUCAACAAGCUUACCACCUUGUUCAACUCAUCAAGAUCACCACAUGAAGAAGGAAUUGACUCUGCCGAGACAACAGCAGGGCGAUCCUGUGGCCAACUCCAAUAUGGCUGUCUCAUUUCCUCUUCACUUAGACAUAGCGCCCGCAACUGAACUGACUGUUUCAGAAUACAGACAAGAGUCAUAUUAAAUCAUUCUACUUCAUAAUUUCAUUCAAUCUUAUCAAUAGUUCUAAGGGCUGCAAACCAAACCUCUUUGCUCUGGAAAAAAUAAUUGUUCAACUUUCUCAUCUCUGGAACAGACGUAGUAGUUCUCCAUCGCAAAAUACGCGGGACAGCGGUCGGAUCAACAACCUUGCAGUAAUUCAGGUCCGCCAUUCUAGGAAUUAAUUCAUAUACCCAAAUCUACACAAUUCACAGGACAAAAGUCAUUAUUUAUGUUUUAAAGAAAAACAAAACAUAACUGACAUGAACAUUAUUACCAUGUACCUGGAAAGCAUACGUGAAACCUUUAAAACUCCAGCCACUCCUUUGCGCUUCACUAUGCUUAUCCUUCUUGCCCUUCUCAUUUCUCCGGCUUGUUCCCGUUACCUUACUUUUCCCCUUCCCUCUUCCCUCUUCAUUUUCCAAGCUUUUCACAUACUUUGUUGGUGCAGAAAAUAGACUGUCUUGGGUUUUGUCAAAGGACACCGAACCCCACGGAUACCUGUUGAACGCAUCCAAGUCCUCUACAAGGGUCAGGUAAUUUAGAUUGAUGUUCAAAUGUUUGUCCCUUCCCAAAACCACUAACUCAGCAAAGUAAACAAGAGGUAGCUUGAAGAUGUCAUCUUCCUCUGUGCACCUCACAAAUGCUUCUUCUAAAGCAUUGCAUGUAAUUCCUUCGUCUAUAAAAUAUCUUUUCUGAAGUCUGAUUUCAUUACUCUCUCCACUGGAAACUUCAGGCACUUCCCCAAAACGAAGCCCUGUGAUCAAACAGAAAUCCUGACGAGUGAACUGAGCAACGUCACACCCUAAUAAGAAACUCAGUCCAUCCAAGUCUUUCACACCCUGCCCCGCUACUCUACGCAACACAACCCCAUGCACAAUCUGUCCGCUAAACUGAAUCUUAUCUAUAUUCAGAAGAUGGCCAAAGCAUGAUGUCUUGAAUUGUUCUAAUUGUUCCGCACUCAACUUCGCUCGAAUUGCAGCUAGAGAUGAAUUUGCAUGUGAGCAGUUGUUCACCCGUGAUGAAUAUACCUCUGCCUCUGGCCAUACCAGCUCCACGUUGGAUCCCAUUUCCUCAAAUACAAUGUGAAAUAACGUGAACAUAUAUACUACCACGUAUUUGCACAAUCACAACUAGUCAACCAGGCACAUUACAACUUUUACAAAGUACAUGAGCAUAUGGAUUACUCAUCACAGGCUUUAACAUCAUCAAAGCAAUAUGACAAUUUUUGUGCAAAUACCUGUUAAUGCAAUGAUUAUGUGAAUUACAAACAAUUUCACGUGUUUUAUUUAUGGAUCCAUACUCGUGUGAGUGCAAUGUAGGCAAGUUCUGCACUUCACACACAUGACAAUUAUUGUCAUCUCAUACACAACCCAAAAUAAAUAAAUAAGAAAUAUAGUGGAAGGAAGCAAAGCAAAGCAUGUACUCUGCUAUCUGCUUGCUAAGCAAUUGCCACAUCCUUCUUUCUUUCUACCUUUUUCUUCAGUCACCCACAAUCGUCAUAGAUCAACCUUCAUUUCAAAUGCUUUGCACUUUUAUUCAUGAGUUUAUUAUUAUCUGUUCUCAUUUCUCAUAGGCAAAUUUAGUAACAAAUGAAAUAAUAUUUAUUUCACAAAAUAUAUAAAUUCUAGUGCCAGAGAGGUACUCUUCACUCUGCACUGCUUCAAAUGUGGAAGGUUUUGAGAUGUUAUUGACAUGUGAUUGACUUUAUUUUCAUUCGUUUUUUAACAUAUACCCAAGCAAAAAUUAACAUGCAAUUGAAGCACAAAUAAGAGAUGCCAAAUCCAACAACAUUGAUGGUACAAAUUGGGGAAAACCAUUACUCUAACCCUAAACUCAAAUUCCUUACAUUACUCAUCAAAUGCUUUGCAGUUCUAUUCAUGAGUUUAUUAUUAUCUGUUCAAAUGUUUCUCAGGCAAAUUUAGUAACAAAGGAAAUCAUAUUUACUUCAUAAAAUAUAUAUAUAUAUAUAUAUAUUCUAGCGCCUCUUCUUAAUCUGCACUAUGCACUGCUUCAAAUGUGGAAGGUUUUGAGGGCCUCCUCCAAUUCAACACCAUUAUCUUAUUCAUAUCAUUAUUGACAUGUUAUUCACUUGUUAUUGACUUCAUUUUCAUUCUUUUUUUAACAUAUACCUAAGCAAAAAUUAACAUGCAACUGAAGCACAACGAAGAGAUGCCAAAUCCAACAAAAUUUAUGGUACAAAUUGGGGAAAACCAUUACUCUAACCCUAAACUCAAAUUCCAUAAAUUACUCACCAAAUGCUGGUUAUUGCAAGGUGUCUGUGUGGGGUCUUUCUGUUUCUUUGCUCCACAAAUGGAACCUACCACUUCCAACGAAUACAGCUUUUCCCCUUCCCCUUCCACUGCUUCGCCUCUUCACUGAUUUGGAAUCCACACCUUUGCCCCUUCUACUCCAAAUAAAUACUUUCUCGGGGUCUGGAGAACGGAGUGGCGAAUCGUUGCCUUCAACUGUCGUUAGCCGUUGCCUUCAUUGGGUAUCUCAGACCUCUGUGUUUUAGAGAGAUGAGUUCUUUCUGUUCAAACUUCGAACUUGCCUCUUCUUCUUCUUUUUCGGACGUGUUUCCCUCUUCUUCUUCUUUUUGGACGUGCUGGAUAUUCAAUUCGGGUUUGGGUUCCUUACCUACCCAAUUGUGAAACUUUAACUCAAUUCUCCCCAGCCCUUGGAUUAAUCUGAUGGCUAUAAAGUGAACCCCUUAUAACUUACCCCUUAUAACUUUCCACUCAUUAUAGUCUUGGCCAGGUAUGGCGGCCAUGCUAGUAAGUGUUGGGUCUUUGACCCAACUUAAGCUAAAUGGGUCAUAAGAUGACCGAUCAUCUUAUCUCAUAAGGAUAUAUAAGUCAUGUUAUGAUUUAGGAUUUUAUAGGGUUUCCUUUGUAAGAGGUAAGAGAGAAACAAGCUCUCUCUCUCUCUACACAAGGAGGUCAGCCAUAGCAAGGGAAAGGCUCCUAGCACUCUCCUCUCUCUUAUUAUAUCAUCCUUCCAAGGACAGCUUUGGUAUGGUAAAGUUGGAGGUUGCACACUUUGUGCACUUUGGUAAGAACUCAUCCAAGGGAGCCAAGAUUAAAUUGGUUAGCUGUUGGAUUAAAUUGGUUAGCACGAUUCAACGGUUAAUAGAUAAAACUUCACAUAAAAGUCAUAUAUAAGGCCCUCACUAUAGAAUGACUCGUUAGUUUAGUCUCUUGUUACAUAUCAAAUGUUAGAGAUAUUUUUUAAUAAGGAUCUGCCAUACCACAUAGUUGGAUAAGACAUUAUACACGGCUUUUGUAAGAGCAUCUCCAGCGCUCCAAACUAGCCCAAGCAGCAGGGGGGCCUAAGUCUAGGAAGCAGCUCCAGCUCGCAAGAUUCAACCCAGGCAAGGUGUGGAACCCACGAGGAGAUCUAGCCCGUCACCUUGCCUUUGGGUUUCAGUCAAGCUGAUGUCAACGAAAGAAUUUCAAAUUUUUUUUACCGUUACAAUGUACGCGCCAACGAUAAAUUUUCUUUGGAUUUCUUGCAUUGAUCCACAGCUACCAAAAACCAACAGCUACAAGCCACGUGGCUUCUCCAGGAGCCUCCGAUCCAAAAAUCAUGUCAAAUCUAACGGCAGUCCAUUUUUUGGCUAAAAAUAUCAAAAAAUUAUGGAAACAUGUUCUAUAAAUUCCUACAAAUAUUAUUCACUUCCCACACCAAAUCUUCAUACAAAUUCAUAUCCUUUCAAUAUUUUUCACUUUCCAUACAAGAUUUUCUACUACUAAGUUUCGUUUGUGUAAAAAUACAAAUGACCUCUUCUAUCGAAGCCGGAGGCGCGUGUACAACCGUGGAAGAUAUUUUGUUGCGUGAGUGUUGGGUCAAAGUUGGUCAUUCCCUGAUCACGGGCAAUGAGAUGAAGUCCUCUCGUAGGAGUUUCUGACAUCGCAACGAAAGUAAGAUGUGAUAUGAAAAUGUAAGGAAUUUGAUGAGAGGAAUGGGAUUUGAGGAGUUUGAUGUAGGAAUUGAUGUAGGAAUUGAAUUUGGGAGGUAUGUAUAUAAGAUUUGAGGGUAUGUGUUUAGGGAUUUUGAUAAGAGGAUUUGAGGAAUUUAGAUUUGAAGGAUUUGGAUUUGGGGAAUUUAAAUAUGAGGAAUUUGAUUAGGGUUUGGGUUUGAAUAUGUGAAAUUUGAUAUGAGAGUUUAGAGACAACAGAUGAUCGAUUGCUCUGAUACCAUGCUAAAAUAUGAUAUGGUUUGAAUACUUUAGGUUGAGUUUUAUUCUUUUCCAUAAAAAGGUAUAUAUAGGAGUUUACAUGAGUGCUUUACAAAGAAAUAGAUACAAUAAUCAAUUAGGAUAAUAUCUCCUAAUUAUACAAUAAUUUGUCAACUAUAUAGAAUAGGAAAGUAAAUUCCUUAAUUAAUCAAGAAAAUAAAUCUCAUUGAUUAAUUAGGAGACUAACGUCAACAUUUAUAAGCCAUAAAAGAGCAGAAAAAGAGGUACUUAGGAGAUUUUAUACGUCGGACUAAGGUAAGCUUAAAGGACUAUAUCAAAAAAAUAAGGGACCAAGAAGCAAGACAGAGAAGUUGUUAUGCAAACCCAUUAAGUUUAGCAGUGAUGAAUUUGUAAAAAUCAUUCUAGUGGAUUCUGCCUUCACUAUUGAGUUCUUAUUGAGGUUCUAUCUGAAAGGAUCUGGACAUGAAGGAGACCGCUUAUUAAACAAACCGUGGAUGUUUACAGCCUGACAUGUGGUUGCUUGAAAAUCAGCUCCCAUUCUUUAUUCUUGAGGAUCUUUAUCACACAUACAUAAUAACCGACUCUUUUAGGAAUUAUUACAGUACUCAUGAUCAUGAGAGGCUUUCAAUAAUUAAUAUUUCUAAGAAUUUCUUCACAGCCGGAAUAUUGAAUUUGGAGGGGAAGGGAGACAAAUGGAACAGAAUAUCAUCUUCUUCUAGUGUUGGAAAUUUUAUAUUAUUUAAUAAUAUUUAAUUUCUAUUGUGAAUGAAAAAUAAGUUUCUUUAAGAAACGUGUGUCUUAGGCCAGUUUUUCUAACUGGUCGGCUUCCUUAGAUUUGUGCCUAUUGCUUUUCAAAGUAUAAUGAUGCAAUGGUUGUAUCUCGUUCAGGCAAAUGGAAGGUAUAUAGCAAUUUAUAGAACAAUACAGUAAUCCAGAAGAAAUAUUAUGAAAUGAAAAGAAUAAAAAGUAAAAAAAGAGAAAGAAAGGAAUUCCCACCUGCAAUGUAUAUGUAUGAAAGGAAGGACCAAGUUUGUUUUAAAAUGGUAAGAACAAGUUGAUUUUAAAUUGGGUUCAGAUCAACUCAUAGAUUUCUUGCCUUUUCUGUUCUCCUUCCUUGGACAUGAACUGUUUAAUCUUGGACUCUUCCCCAUCAUGUUGGGCCUGUCUUCUUCUUGAGGAUUGUAUAGGCCUAGGAAAUGCUUCGGGGUAGUUUUUGUGUUUUGGGCAUUGGGACCCAACUUCACAAAAAGAAAACAAAUUUGACCAAAACACAAAUUUGAAGGACAUUGAAAUUGUACCCGUAGGAUAGAUUAAAACACUAUAAGGGAGGUAAAUAGUACGUUUACAGAGUUUAAGUGUAAUAAAGGAAUAAAAACAUGCCCAGAGAAUUGAUAAGUGAUAUCAAUUCUUGAAUAUACGUGAAAAUUAUUUUAUGUGGUUAAACCCCACCUCUGGGGAAAAUCCACGGAACUUCUUAGUCCAACUUCUAUCACUUAUCCUAGACACAUUCUAGAUAAUGUUUGCCAACCUCUUCGUAACUCAACUUCUGUCACGAGAUGAUCUUUCAACACUUUAUGUCGAACGCAAUACUGGUCACGAUUUCUUCAAGCUCGCCGGAGUUCUUCCAAUUCUCCUUAUAUUGAAUCUGAUACUAGUCACGAUCGAUUCAAGCUCAUCGGAGAAAAAUCGCCACAACAAUCUUGGUGCCCUCAACCGUAUGAGUCACUGAACAUGCAAAUGAAUACAAUAUGAAUGAUAAAAGUGUUUGAUAAAUCACCAAGUUAUGGAACACUUGAUGAUUUAUCUCAAAUAAAAAUUCAGCUUUCCAAAGUUUAUGAAUUGAAAAUAUGACCGUUAAAGCUCUCUAAACAAAGAAGACGAAGGUCUUAUUUUAUAGACUUUUACUUUACAAGAAAGAAAACACGUUGAAAACCAAAUCUCCAAUUUCCAAGGCUUGACAGAAAAUCACAAAAUUAUCUUUCCUAUUCUAGAGAUUGGUCACAUGAAGUCCAACCAAUAGGAAAUGAGAUAUUUAAGAAAGGAAGAUUUUGAUCAAUAUCAAUAUCAAAUGAAUUCUUAUACGCCUAGUCAAUUGUUAUGGGUAUCUUGACUCCUUGAUAUUGUGAUAUGAUUGAAACAUGAUUUCCACGUUAGAAAAUUAAGGGGAUGUUAAAACAUGAAGGUAAUAGGAGAAUCAAAUUGAUUUGGGCCAAAAUUGCCUAAAAAGAAAACACUCCUUAAUAAACUUCAAUUUACUUUUAAAAAUAGUAAAACGUGAUUGAAUCGUUCUUUAAAACAAUUCCCUAAUAUACAUGCAUGAUAGUGAUAUCACUUACCUUUGAAUCAGAUGGCUUUCACGGGUCAAGCCACAAGUUUUUGUCUUGGGGAUUGCUGAGCUUCAUCAAUCCUGCCAAUGUCAAUUUUGCCCCUAAGCUCUCUCAAAGCACGUUUACAACCUAUGCUAACAUAUAUUAGAGUUUAUGUUAGUAUCAAGAAAAUGCCAACACUAAUUUCGUAACACGUAGAAAUUGUUAGAGAUUGAAGUUUUUAUCAUUUUUUCUUCCAGACUCUCCACCACUCACUAAUAUAGUUUACUCAUGUGAUGAGUUUACAAAACCUAUUUCUCUACUCUCACAAAGACUAUACUUAGGGGGGUGUAUUCAAUUAGGAUUCUAAAGCGUUUAAAAAGAUUUUGUUUAAGUGCCAGCUUUCAUAGAACUUGAUGGAACUUUAUAAUUCGUAUAGAACUUGAUAGACUUUCAGAAGACUUCUGUAUAAUUUUUUAAUAAAACUUUCUUAAGCUUUCAUAGAACUUGAUAGGCUUUCAUUCCAAACUUAUGUAGAUGGUAUAUUUCAUUUUAUCCCCAUCCUUGACAUUUAAAGAAAGAAACUUGAAUUUUUUCAAUCAAAUUUGUUUUUGUUACCAAAGCAGCAAAAACAAAAAGUACUUGUUUGCGAUGGAAGAACAUAUGCACAGUUCAAAAUGAAAAGAAUAAGAAGCAAAGUACCUAUUUGACCAAUGAAUGCUGUGUCAACUAGAGAAGCAAUUGGAUCGGCUGUCAAAGCCAAUGCUGCAGGCAAUGCAUCGAUGGUCCAAAUUGCAAUAAAAAAAUAUUUUGAAUAAUGGCUCUUGCAGACAAAGACCACAUAAAUUCUGAACUGGUCUAGCUUGAAUAAUAAGGUUAGAUUAGCCAAUUGAUGAGAUUAAAAGCAAAGCAAGUUGAUGAAUUUAUCAUCAACUAUUUAAUAACCACAGUCCUGAUCUCUUGGACCCCUGUAGUCCAAGAGAUUUAUGGUCACCCACCGUUGGAUGUAAAUUCAACGGUUGACUUGAAUCGGGUAAUAAUCAUUUAUGUCAUAUUGCAUUUAUAUAUAUCAUUUUGAACCAUUGGAUUAAUAUCCAACGGUGGGUGACCACAAUCUCUUGGACUCCUGUGGUCCAAGAGAUCGGGACUGUUAAUAACCAAUAGAGUAUUUAAACAUAAACAACAAUGUUUGAUCAACAAAACAAAUAGUCCAAAUAUCAUCCAAAAAACAAUAACAAAAAAUCAAUCAUUCCAAACAAACUAGUCAUUCUCAAAAACUCUCAAAAAACCCACUCAUUCCAAAUUGUAGGAUAUCCAAUUUGAGCACUCCUCAGGAGACAUUUUCAAAAAUGCAUCCUUUUUUGUGUUACUAUGCAACAAAGAGAGUGCUUUAUAACGAGCAUGUUCAUCCAAAUUUGGGGUCUCCUUAAUGGCAUCCCAUAUAUAACUCCGCUGCUCUCUCUCUUUUUCCCUUUUUGCCAAUAGGUUAUGGACCUCCCGGAAGUCGAUGACAAUUGAAUCAAUGCUAAGGCUAAUUCUUCCCAUAGCUUGCUGGGUGGUCACAUUUGAGAUAGCAUUCCCUUCCAAAUAUGUUCUAGUUCGUUUCCUCUAGUAACAAGCAUAAAUCCUAGUAACAAGCAUAAACCCUAACCCCAACCUAUAACCUAAUAACAAGAAGAAAACCCAACGAGGUAUUGAUCAAAGAAAAAUUAGGGAGCAUACCUUCACAGAUGGAGGAAGGAAGCUGUUCGUCUUCGCAGAGAGAAAAUCUAGGGAAAGAGAAAAACGUCUUAUGAAAUACUUGGGGGGGAGGUUGGAUUUAUUUUGGUCUUUUUUAUUUAUAACUCUCCCCUUAAAACCUACGUAAAUUUAUCACUUAAUGAAAUCCUUCCAAAUAUAUGACCUUUCGAAUACACCUAGAUUUGAUUCAACUUUUUUAUAAUCAUAAUUGAAUACACCCAUAUUUGAAUGGACUUUUUAAAAGUUCAUAUAGGUCCGAAAUGAAUAUACUCAAACUUGUAAAACCUCUUUUAAAGUUUGUAUAAAUCCAAAUUGAAUACACCUGGAUUUUUAAAAUCUUUUUAAACACUUUAUAAUCCUAAUUGAAUACACCCCCCUUAUUCUCAAAAGACUAUAUUACUUUACCUCUAUCUCUGUGAAAUGUAAAAAGUUGAAACUUUAAUGUCAAACCUCAACAAAAGAUGAACUUUCAUCAGUUACGUUGAAUUUGGAUUUGUUGAACUUAAGUGGUUUUAUUUUCUUUGUCAGUGUUUGAUGACUUAAUUUGGUAUUUAUUUCUUCUUUUUUUUCCUUGGAAAUGUGUUCCACCAACGUGAGGAAGAAAAAUAUGCACAAAUUAAUAUAUUUAAUAGAAGCCCAAGAUUUCGGAUGCAUAUAAUUUCUACAAAAAUCUACAAAGUUUUUUACUUUACAAACUUCUUAUGUCUACCAAUUUCUACUAAAAUUAAUUUCUCUGUGGUGCUCAAAUUCAUCAUAUGUGUGUCGUUAAUUUUAUUGAAAAUUGGAAGUUCCCAUCAUUUUUGUUUUUUGGGAAUUUUCUGAACCAAGGAAAAUCAAGUAAAAUUAAUAAAGCCUAAAUUGGAAAGGGAAAAUAUCUAGAGGAUGCAUUGUAGGAUUGCUCAUGCCAAUAAUUGUACCCUCUAAAUAUAUAGAGACAUAUUUUUUUUGUUUUCAUGACAUGUGGUCCUAAAAUUAUUGUGUAAAUCUUCAAUCCUGAACGAUGCACCUAAAACUCAUCCACCCAUUCUCAGGCCAAUUAUUGCACCUAGUGGGCUCUCGACCCCCUCUCAAAUUUAACCACAUAUUUUAUGGACCAUCCAGCUGUGAGGUACAUUCCCCCCACAUGCCACAAUUGUAUAUUCACAAUUACGUCUGAUACAUCACAUCAUGCCACUUGCCUCAAAUGAAUUUAAGUGAGUGAGGCAGUUGGAAGUAAUUAAGCUCUAUAUUGGUGGGUGGAGUGUUACUUCUCGGUUCCCCUCAUCAUUCGUCUAUAAAAUGGUGAAGGCAGUUGCUAUUGUUACCAUAAGAGCCAGCUCCGACUUCCUUUAAUUUCUUGCUUCAUAUCCACUAGCUACAUCUGUUACCAAGUUAAUUUCAGUUCUAAUGGGGUUUCAUCUCCCACUCAUCUUUGCUCUUCUCAGUGUAAGCUCUGCAAUUUGAUUAACUUUUCCAUUCUCUCUCAUUGUACUCUAUAUAAACGAAAGUUUUGUGUUCCUAUUGUUCUCUCCGAUUUUAUUUAGUACGUACUUAAGUGUCGUCCACUAAUUAAUUAUACUUUGUGAUUUGAUUUUAAUUUGAGUUUGAAUUAAUGUUGCAGCUAGCAGCAGUGGCACUGGCAAACCAUGCUGCUCAACCAGCACCUCAACUUUACUGGAGCUCCGUCCUGCCAAACACACAGAUGCCAAGAUCUAUCAGUGAACUUCUGCAUCCUGGUUUGUGUUGAGCUCUUUAGAAUCUUAGAUAUCUCUUCUACCUGCCAUUUUACUAAAAUAUGUUCCACCACAUAUUUAUCAGUUAACCAUUGUCAUUACAUGAGUGACACAUAUUCACAAAUCGGCUGAUCACUUAUUUUCCAUUAUGACUUGAUAUAUAAUUUGCAGACUCCACAAAUGAAGAAAAGAGCACAAAUGACGUUGGCAAACCUGAAACUUUCCCAUUGGGCAAUCAACAUUACUCCAGUCAAAAACAUUAUGGAGGCAUACCUGAAACUUCCCCAUUGGGCAAUAAACAUUACUCCAGUCAAAAACAUUAUGGAAGAGGCAAACCUGAAACUUUCCCAUUGGGCAAUCAGCAUUACUCCAGUCAAAGACAUUAUGGAAGAGGCAAACCUGAAACUUUCCCAUUGGGCAAUAAACAUUACUCCAGUCAAAAACAUUAUGGAAGAGGCAAACCUGAAACUUUCCCAUUGGGCAAUCAGCAUUACUCCAGUCAAAAAAAGUAUGGAAGAGGUGCUUCUCCAUCCGACAAUCAACAACUCCAUUAUAAAGACUUAGCUAUUUUCUUCUUGGAGAAGGACAUGCGCCCUGGCACAACAAUGAAGUUCCAAUUCC